UGGAAAUGGAGCUUCGUGUGAAGGAAUCUUGAAUUAUAAGCUAUAGAAACUAAGGAAUAUGAAAAACGAAAGGCUACUUUUGAAGAAGAUAGCUCUCAAGAAUAGAAGGCUACAAUGACUUGGAAUUAUUCUCACGUGAGCUAAUUGCAAGACUUUCAAUUCUGCUUUACGACAUUCAAACCUCCAAAUUUAUUCGUUUUUUUUUUUUUUUUUGUGAAAAAGAAAUACAAAUAGAAGUUGGAUGAGAUAAAAUUUUCCUAAUAAUCCGUAAUAAGCUAUCCUAAAAUAUAAUAAUACAAUAUUCUUCUUUCCUACAAUAGUAAUUACACGAUGAAUCCUUACCCUUACCAUUCAGACCAACAUAUAGCUAAAGUCUUCUAAUAAGACAACACGUACUGAGGGUUCUCCAAAUUUAUUCGUUUUGUGAAGCAAAAAUGGAAGCUCGAAAACAAAGCUUGUGUAACUAAACCAAUUUAAAAAAAAUGUGUGACUAAUCAAAGGUAUCACGACAAGUUAAUACACCAUGAGCAAUGACUCAUAAAUAUAUCCUCUCUUUAACAGAUUCACAUUUGAAAGGAAGGUAGUUCACCUAGUUCAACAUGUAUCAAAGCAGGCAGAACUGAGAGCAGACGCAACCCUUAGGUGUUUAUUUUUUUUUGUGUGUGUGUGUGACUGAGAGAGAGAGAACCCACUAAAAUUUCAACAAAUACCAGAAGUUUAGAAGUACAAUCAGUUCUAUGUUGAGAACCAUAGAGGUCAAACCCGUAGUAAAUCAUGGAUCUGCUCUGGGACAGAACAUGCCUUACAACGAGAAAAUUUCCAGCUCAAGCUGACUUUUUUCACAAAGCCCAACUUUAACUACGUGAAAGAAAGAAAAUCAGUUCUUUCAAAUUUUUUUCGAUAAGCUUAUGAAAAAAAAAAAGGGUUCUUUCAGCAAUCAAACUAGUAAAGAUAACUUCUUUAACCACUUUUUGGGGAAAUUAAGCUACACUCUCCUUUCUUUCUUUUUGACAACUGUGGUGUCCGAGGCAGCUUGUGCGCAUCUCGACUAAUUCCACGGGAUACGUGUCCCCUGCUUCCAGCAACAGAGAUAGCAGGCAUCUAAGCAUCUAACUCUGUCCACUGAGGCUAGGACAAAAGGGAAGAAAUCACCUAGUAUUUUUUGCCUCCACUGGAAUUUGAACCUCAGACCUCAUUGCUGUCAACCAGUUCAUUGACCACUAGGCCACACUUUUGGGUGUCUAUACUCUUCUUUUGUACUCCAUGUUAAAGAUUAUUAUAAUUUACUUCUCACAAUUUAAUUAAGCACAGAAAAUCAAGAGUUCAACAUCACCAGCAGCUUACAAGUAAAUCCAUUUUUGUAUAUAAGUAGAUGAAAAAAUGGGUUCUUUCAGCAAUAAAACUAGUAAAGACAACUCCUUUAACCACUUUUAGGGACAACUAAGCUUCUCUUCUUUUCUAUACCAUGUUAAAGAUACUAUAGUUUACUUCUUACAAUUUCAAAUCAGCAGAGAAAGUCAAGAAUCCAACAUCACCAACAACAUACAGGCAAGCCUAUUUUUAUAUAUAAGGUUAUGGGAAAAAAGGGUUCUUUUUUUUUUUUUUUUUUCAUAAUGUGGUGUUCGGUCCAGCUUGCGGACACCUCCACUAUUUCCACAUAAUACCUACCACCUCCCACCAGCAAAGUGACAGGUAAAUCUGUCCACCAAGUCUAAAGCAGAUGGAACAAAAUGGAAAAAUGGGGUUCUUUCAAACAACCAAACUAGUAAGAUAACUUCUUUAACCACAUUUUGAGGCAAUUAAGCUAUACACUUCUUUCUACACCAUAUUAAAUAUACUAUAAUUUAUUCCGCAGAGGAAAAAUAAGAAUGCAACAUCACCAGCAGCAUACAAGCAAAACCCAUCCUCUAUAUAUAAGUUUAUGGGGAAAAAAUACAUUCUUUCAGCAAACAAACUAGUAAAUACAACUUCUUUUAACCAAAUUUUUGUCCAAUUAAGCUAUAAUUCACUUCUUCUUACAAUUUCAAUUCAACACAGAAAAUCAAGAAUUCAACAUCACCAAUAGCAUACAAGUAAACUCAUUUUUAGCAAUUCCUUUUUUUUUUUCCACUGCCAAAAUAUAUCUAAACAUCAAUUUAAAGAAUUUGGGGGAGAUGGUCUAGUGGUUCAGAAAUCAGAACCAUGAGUUCAAGUUCAAUUCCCAACGGAGAAAAAAAAAAUACUAGCCAUUUGUUCGGACAAAAUUACUGUGCAAUUAAUUGAGGUGCCUAAAUGCUGACUCGAGCAUAAUUUUUUUUUCCUGGGAGAGCAAAAAGAAAAACGAAAAAAAGAAAAAGAACCUGUCACGGAUUUGGAGUUGGUCAAUCAUAGCAGCCAUUCUUUGUUGGUCAGCUUGAUUAAGAGAAUUCAAAUCACCCAUCAUACUCGUGUCCAUUUUUUUUUUCACUUAUUGAUUUAUUAUCAACAAAAAUAUGUAGUAACUAUUUAGGAUUCAAUUAUAACAAAAAGAGUUCUGUUUUAUUAUAUUCCUUAUAUUUCAAAUUUCAAUGAACCCUAAAUAGUUGUGUGUGACGUGAGAGAUUAGUUAACACUUAAGUUUCUGUAGAACUCCCUCUUGAUUUAUGAAAUUGCACUUAAGUACACAACUUUUUGCAACAAAAAAAAGGGCUUUAUCCAAGGGUAAAAAGUUUUAUUUCCUUGAAAAAUAAGUUAAUUUAUUAUUUAUUUUUCAGAGAAAGGUCAAAUGUACCCCAAACUUUCGAAAAUAGUAUGCAAAUAGCCAAAUAGCUUUUGUUAUAUUUUUAGGUUGUCAAUGCCCUUAACAUCAUACUUUUGGGGCGUAUAUACCCUGAAGUGUAACAGAUAGACACAUGGGGUGUGUUUGGUAUGAAGGAAAAUGUUUUCCUGGAAUGGAAAACAAGUUGAUUUCUUUCUUACUUAUUUUCUUAUGUUUGAUUGGUGGAUGAAAAAUAUUUUCUAGUAUUUGGUUGGUGAAUGAAAAAAUAUUUUUCAAAAAAUACAUUUUAGUGUUUAAUUAAAGCGUAAAAAUACAUUUUAGAAUUCUUUUUUAAAAAAAUAAAUUAAAAAAAUUAAAGUUUUUUGGGGAAGGGGUUGGUAGGCGGGUGGAUGGGGGUGUCAGAAUAGGUAGUAGGGGUGGGGUAAGAAAAGAUUUUGAAUUUUUUUCGUUAAAAAAAAUUAAAAAAUUGGCUGGGGAAGGGGGCUUAGUAGGAGCUGGGGAUCAGGGUAGGGGAGUGAGGGGGAAGGGGGAAGAAAAAAAUUUUAAAAAUUUAAAAAAUAAAUUUAAUUUUUUGUAGGUGGUUGAGAAUUAUUAUAUAAUGCAGGUUAUUACUUGUUUCUCCGUCCCAUAUUAGUUGAUCACUUUAGUAAAAAUACAUAUUCCAAAUUACUUGUCCACCUACUAAAUCAAGAUCAAGUUAAUUAAAAUUUUUCCAUUUUCCUCUUCUUUUUUUUCCUGUUAAAAGAAAUUACUUGAACAUUAUUCCAAGAAUUUAAUUUUUUCCACUGAUAGGGCAUUGAGAGUGGAGUAGAUAAUUUUGAGAAUUGUAUGAAUAUUUUAACUUUAAAGUGGGGUUGAAAGAGAGUUUUGAAAAUGUUUUUCUUAUUUUUUGAAGGGAAGUAAUUUUCCUUAUAUUUAAGGAAAAUAAGUUGGUUUGAAAAAUAUUUUUCAAAACAUAUAAGCCAACCAAACAUAAGAAAACUGGAAAAUAUUUUCCUUCGUACCAAACACACCCAUGGUAUCUCUUAUGGUUAAUUUAGGUUUUAUAGUCUGAAUCAGAUUAAUUUUUUUGUUUGGCAAUAAAACGAAACUUUAUUAAUCAGCAAGUAAUGUGUUAUAAGCCAAGAGAAGUGCAAUACAAUUACAGACUACUCAGCACCUACUAAACAAAUAACCCAUAUCACUACUUCACAGAACUUAUAUAAGUAAAUAAACUAUAGUUUGAUCUAACUCGAGUACACAUAUCAAUUUGCAUUUGAUGAACUAAACCAUCUAUUGAUGUGCUCCGCUGUUGAACAAUCUCUAGUGUUUCUUUUAAUCCAGAUAAUAGUGUACAUUGUAGUAGUAAGACUAGUCUUCAGUAUCAACUCUCUGGGAUGCUUACUUCUAGCCAAUUGAUUUAUCCAUAGCCAUAUUGCAUUCCAACCUCUUGAACAUCCUUGCAAUUUCUGUCAUCUUAAGAUAGAGUCCCACAGUUUAUAUAUAUUGUCACGAUCAAAGAACAGGUCACAGGUGAUCUCUAGUUCCAUUAUGCAGCCGACAAAACAUACACUUCUCAUCAACAAUCAUAUCCUAGUUGACAAGCAUAUUCUUUUUUCUAAUUCUAUUUUGUUGGCAUAGCCACACAAUAAAUACUUAUUUAGGCUCAGUAAUGUUAUGACACUAAACUCAUUUCCAAGCAACAUUUUCAACUUCUCCUCUCAACACCUUAGAAGCUUUAGAGAUCUAAAAUUUUUCCUGAGAGAUUAUAUCAACAGUAAUGCUCAGAUUCUGACAAUAUUUUCUCAUUGUUACUGCUUUUCUGACCAUCCAGGAAGCUUGCAUUGGCAUUUGUAAAGUGUAUAAGUUCCCCUUUAUGUAGUAUUGAAGCACCCACGCUAUCCUUAUUUUCUCUUUGUAUUAACUUAGAGCCCACAAUAACUUGCAAAUAACAUCAGUAUUCUAAAGUCUCCAGUUUAUAAUGUCCAGUGCUCCUGCACUCUUUGAUAAGCAUAUUUUGUCCCAUGCCACUAAGGCUCUUUUAGUUAUAACAACUUCACCUGACUAUAAGUAGCUUCUAGAUGUAGCCUCAAUUAGUUUAAUCACUUUCUUUGGCAUUAAAACAGUUAGGACCGAUAGGCUCGUAUCCUAAAUAACACAAACCUGAUAAGUUGUAGUCUACCUGCAUUGGUAAGAUAUUUUGCCAUUCAACUUGUAACUCUUGCAGCAAUCUUCUCUAUCAAUGACUGACAUUGAGCAAUAGUGAGUCUCUUAGUAAAGAGGGGGACACCAAGGUUUUAAAGGGCAAAUUACCUUUUUCAUACCCUAAAGCCUGCAAAAUAUCUUGCUACACAUGAAAAUUCACUCUACCAAAGUACACCUAGAGUUUAGACAUGUUUGCUUUCAAAACUGUAGCUUCAGAGAACAUAUCAAACUAUCUUUUUAGGAGCAAAACUAAAGAUAAGUCACCCUUAGUAAACCUAAGGAAUCAUCAGCAAAACAAAGGUGAGUAAAGUUUAAUUUUUUACACCUAGGAUAGUAGUUACAGUCAUGUUACUUCUGUAAACCAGUCAUGCAUCUAUUAAAAUACUCCAUUAUAAUGACAAAAAGGUAAAGGGACAUAGGAUCCCUUUGCCUUAAUCCCCUUUUAGCUUGAAUUGUAUUUGUAAGAGUUUCAUUCACUAGAAAAGUGUAGUUCACAGUUGUAACACAUAGCAAGAUCCAUUGAAUCAUCAGACAAGGGAAACCCAGCUCCUUCAAAAUUUGCUUCAAGCACACCCAUUAUAUACCAUCAUAAGCUUUUUAUAAAUCAACUUUUAUCAUACACCUAGUGUAACCUUUGAUCAAUUUAUGACUAAUUAAGAUAUUGUCUGAGAUGAGUUUACCUGGUACAAAGGCUUUCUGAUACUGUCCUAGAAUACCAUCUAAUACACCUUUAAUUCUAUUGGUAAUCACGUUAGAGAUAAUUUUAUAUAUGAUAGUACAACAAGCUGUAGAUCUGCACUCUCUUAUUGUCUUAGGCUUGGAUGUUUUAGGGAUCAAAUUAACAAUAGUAUUAUUUGCAGUUGUUAGUAAUUUUCUCUUACCAACUAGUAAUUUUCUCUUACCAAAUAAUUCUUACACUGUAUCAUGAAUAUCAUUUUGAAUCACCUUUCAAGCUUUCUUAAAGAAGUAGGUCGAGUAUCCGUCUAUCCUAUGAGAUUUGUUACUAUCAAUAUUGAAAAGUGCCUGUUGAAUUUCCUACAUAGUAACUUCUCCGCACAUAGUUUAUUGUUGCUGCAGUGUAAGGCUUGGUCCCAGCCUUAUGCUUAAGAUAUUUAUUGCAGAUAUAUCUGAGGAGGUAGAUCCUAAUAAUUUUUUCUAAAAAUAUAGUAUCUUAGCCUCAAUAUAUUGUGCCUUAUGCAACACUUUACCACCACUAUCUAUCAGCAAAAAUAUAGCAUUGGAACUUGCUCUAGCCUUCAUACAUCUAAAGAAUAACUAUUAUUACCAUCCCCUACUUCAAUCCAGUGAACCUUAAGUUUUUGUUUAAAAAUCUUAUCCUUCAAAGUCGACUAUUUGUGGAGUUUCGGCUAGCCUUUGUUUCCUCUACUACAUCAGGACUUACAAAAUUCCUUAAGAGGCUCUACAUAUGAAGCACAUUUUCUCCAACAACUUAUAUCUUUCUCUCUAAGCUUCUCACAUAUACAUUCUUCAAUUUCUUUAGAGGUUCUUUGCAUAACUGUAAAUUCUUCCUUAACUUAUACAUGCAUGUGUCAUCAGCAAAUGUACUCCAAACCUAAGCAACAAGUGGGAGAAACUUUUCAUUAUCUGCAAGGAUAUUAAGAAAUUUAAAAGGUUUUUUAGUUUAUGAUCUUUCAGCUGCAAUAUCCAUAUGUACAUGUGAGUGGUCAGAGAAACAAUUACCAAAGAACUAAGUUGUGAUCCCUCCAUGGGUUACAGAACGCUCUAUCAAUUGUACUCCAUAUAUGUUUGUUAGUCCGAGUAAAAUUCUUUCUCAUUACUUUUAUAUCUAUCAAGUUGAGGUUAUCCAUAAUUAUUUGAAGGUCAUUUAUCUCAUUUACAUAAACUGGUUAUCCACCCAUUAGAUCAUCACUUGUGAGGAUAGAGUUGAAGUCCCCAAAAAUACAUCAAUGCAUAGUGUUUCCAGUUCUUAUAUGAGUAAGCCUCUCUUAGAGUUCCUUCUUUUCUUCCAGGCUAUUACUACCAUAAACUAUAGUCAAUGCAAUGCACACCUAAAGUCAGACCUUCUAUCUUGGAUUACACAGUGAAUGAAUUGAGUAUGACAUGUCUGUUGCGAGUUACUAACUUCAGCUUUCUUUCAUAUUAGCCAAAUUUUUCAAGUUGAAUUAGAGUAAUAAUUGUGAAUACAAGCCCAUCCUUUUGCACAUCUAGCUAAGCUCUCCUGAAAUUUAUGAUGCUUGAUUUUGGUUUCUACAAGUUCAACUAACUAUAUAUGAUUUGUCUUUAUAUACUCCCUUAUUUUUCUUUGUUUGAGAGGACUGUUUAAGCCUAUCAUAUUCCAGACUAAUCAUUUCAUUGGGACAAAAGGUUUUCCCCCUCUUCAAAGGCCUUUCCUUAUCCUAUGCAACCACAUUCACAACUGCUAAAGAAGAGAAUGAAUUUUGAAUCCUCAAUGUAGGUCCUCUUAAUUCUCUUACAGAGUUAUACAUCACUAAUUAUGCAUAUGACAUACUCCUCAUUCAACUAUUAAAAGAAAUAACUUUACUUAUAUUUGCAUCAUAUUUUUAGAGUUAUCGUCCCUGAGGUUCCUAGAGUAGUUAGCUUUUUAUUCAAACCAACAACAGGUUUAGGAACUACAAUGACUUCUCAACUACUAUAACACCCUUCCCUAUCUAUUUCUGCACCAUUUUUUUGUCUUCUUGAUUAUCAAGCCUUUUUUCUUUAUUGUUGCUUCGUUGGUCUAGUGUUGUCAAGCUUAACAGGAGGUAUUGUUUUCUUUUCUGGACAUACAUGUCCAUAUAUUUAUCAAAUAGGUCAAGAUAGGGGUUUUUAGUAAUAUGUAACGGGCUUCGUGAACACUCUUCCAUUAGGAUUAAUUAUCUCAAUUUCCUUAGGCAAAUCUUGAGUGAUGUUCAUAUCAACUAGCACUCUUGCAUAAGAUAUCCUGGAUUGAGUCUUAGUGCACUUAUCUACAAAUAGAGGUUCUCCCAAUCUACUAACCAUUUUACUCAAUGUCUUCGGGUUCAAUAAUUGAGAGGAAGCUUAUAAAAAUGUACCUAUAGUGGAAUUGUGCUUGGGAAUUAAGUUUGAAAAUGAAACACCCUAGUUUCUGGACCUUAGAAAAUUUCUGGAAUUCUGAUCUCUGGACCCAAUAUAACUCAUGGGUACGAGCCGUAUGUUGGGGUACGGAUGGUAUGGUCCGGUUGUAUACUGACCAGUGUUGGUUGGUGGGAUGGAUUUUGAUUACUAGAAUUGACACGAAUUAGGGGUAUGAGUCGUAUUGUUGGUUACCGAUCAUUUGGUUCCUUAACUUAAUCUUAGACUUGGUUACUUAUGUUGGAUCUGAGUAAGAGUGGCUCACCAUGAGUUGUAAGCCAGGGUACGAAUCAUACCAGGGACUCGUUUGGUAAAUAGUGUCCAAUCCUCCUAGUAAUUUAUUCUGCUAGGGAUAUUGGGUCAUGGAUACGAAUUAUAUGUUGUGGUUACGACUUGGUUGGAUGAGUCGUAUACUGGAUAUGGUUGAUCCAAGGGUUGAGGCUUGGAUAAGAGUGUUGGAAACCAAUCAUAUUGGGAGGGUACGACUCGUGAGGGUCAGUUUUAUCCCUGUGAUGGGAUUUUGUGCAACUUAAGUGGAGGUAUUCUAGAUAUUUCUCUACUUAUCCUAAUAGGGUUCCACGACUUCUAAGCUACCUGAAAGGUUAUUUAUCCUAAUAUUCUAUUCAUUAAUACUUAGAAACUCUUCCAAAACAUUUCAUAAUUCUCUUAAGAACUAUUGGGUAAGGGAAUCUAGGGUUUCAACUAGGGUAUUAAUUUGGGGCUUAUCUUGGUAAUUUUAUUCCGCCAUUGCCUUGGUUUAAGACAUGUUUCUCUUCCCUCAUUAUUAAUUUAAUUAAAGGCAUGGUUUAUAUGAAUAUUUUCGUAGUUUUACUAGUGUAUGACUUUAGCUUUCAAAUAUGAUUUGGGGAGGAGCUGAUGUUAAUUGCUUGGUUAUGAUUUCCCAUGGUUUUAAUUAUGCUUUUAUAUGCAUUAAUGGUGGUUUUAGAUAAUUGGAUUGGAUGGGAAUGGUUUAUUCACAGUUAGAAUUGGUUUUGGUUAUAUUAUGCCCCCAAUGUGUUUGACAAAAUGCUUAUAAAGAUAUGUUCAUUGCAUCGACUUCUUUUAAUGGAAUUCUUGCAUAUUUUAAACUUGGCAAAAUAAUUAUACAUGAUUUAAAUAGUUUGGAAAGACUAAAGGCUAACUGGUUAUGCUUGUAGGGAACAUGAAAGUCUUCCAAGUAGUUUAAUAUGGUAAAUAGAAGGGCACUUAAAAGUUAUCUUAAACCUAUAAAUGGUUGGAUAUAGAUGAUACUUGCAAGUAAGGGUUGGUAUGACGAUACUAAUAGCAAUGGCCUUGGUUAGUAAAUGGAAAUGGUUUUGUUAUUUGAAAAUUGGUUUUAAUUGGAAAAUAAUGGCGGGAUGUGUAGCAAAGUCGUAGAAGGUAGAGGUCCCGGGGGGACAAAAACUGGAAACUCAUAUUUGUCGAUAUGAGGUUGGUCUUGGUGUCGUAUGCAUAAUGUCACACUUUAUUUUGGGGAUGUACUAGUCAUCCCAUAUGAUACUUCCCUGGUCGCGUGGCUACACGCACUGGGGCCCUUUUAGUGGGGGGGAGCUGAACCCAUAUAGCCCCCGGGUGAUUUAGGACGGCAAAGCUACACAAUCCAGGUAAAGGUUUUAAAGGCAUGCUAAACCCGAUCCCUUUUUUCGGCAUGGAUAUAUAUAUAUAGGUGUAUGAUGUAUGAUUGUAUGCAUCAUGGAUAGUUUUACUUGGUUUUAUAAAUGACAUUCUGAGAUCAUGCUAGUGGUCACUCGCUAACCCCAUCUACUGACGGCUGUAUACCCACGUUAUAUAGGAACCAGCUGUUCUACUCUUCCUACAUAGUGAUUGACUCGAGGACAGUAUUUGGACUAAAGUGGUGAGCUUCUAUCCUUUCGGAAGACAUCAUUUCUUGUUAUAGAUAUUUUUAGAUAUUUUGACUUUAUUUUGGAUAUUGGUUUUGGCUAUGGUUGGGGGCAUGUCCACAAAUUCGGAUAGAGGAUUUAUGGUACUUCUAUGGAUUGGAAUGGGCGGGAUCGGUAUUGGUGUCGACCUUGGCAUUGGAAUAAGCCGGUGGGCUAACAUUAUUAGACGAUAUUAUUGGUUGUUCUAUUCUAUUACAUUUUGGGAUUAAUUAUAUUAUGUUUUAGAAUAUCCUUGGUUAUGGCAUUUGUUUGGUAUGGUUGGAUUAUUGGUAUGAGAGGGGUGACCUCGGUUAGGUUGGUCACGAUUGUGAUCUAUUCCUAGAGUUCUUAUGUGAGCUGUUAUACUAUUUUGUUACAUGCUGGAAUUCAGCCAACUCAGGGCAGGCUACUGGAGGUUGGGUUGGGUACUGGGGGUGGUCUUCAAUCCUAGUCGAACUUAGGAUGCCCAUUACGACAAGGCCUAGGGGGUUGUGUCAAGUUGGUAAGAGUCUAGGUUCAUGGUCAAUUAAGAGUCCACAAAGUCGUAUCGAGUAGAGUCUCUUUUUGGGGUGUGUAGCGCGCCAUACUCAUAAGGAAGAGGCUAUAAGGCAUUUAAGAAUGUUUUACUUUCUUUGUAUUCUAUCUUUGAGCUUAAAUUCUCAGUCCUGGAAUCUUCUGUAAUCCUUAUUUAUUCAUCUUUCAGAUCAUACCUCAUAAAUACGGAUUACAAAAAAAAUCUUCUAUCCCAUCUAGAGGUAAUACUGAAGGGGUGCAUCCUACUUCUGGGGUUUAUCUUUGAUCUCACGGUCCUAUCCCUAAUAGUUCUGGAGUUCCACUGAUUGCUACUAGUCCUCCUUAAGGCAAGGUGACUAAUGCAGAAUUUCGUCAGUCUAUUCAUGUUAUUGCUAAGUUGGUUGCUGCUCAGGCUGACCGGGAUAUGUCUGAUGCUUUGUCAGCUGAGGCCACAAGGGUUGUCUAACUUAUGAAUAUGAGUCCUCCCACUUUUUCUAAAGUGGAGAUGGAGGAAGAUCCACAAGGCUUCCUGGAUGAGAUGGAAAAUAUAUCUCGGGUGAUGCAGUCUACCAAUGGUAAGGGGUAAACUUUGCAUAGUAUGAGCUCAAAGAGGUUGUAUAUCAGUGGUAUAAAGAGUAGGAUAGGGAUAGAGGUGAUAUGGAAGAGGAAGGUUUGUAAGAGGCCUUUUCUAACACCUUCUUGGAUCAAUUCUUUUUCCAAGAGCUGGGGAAAGAAAAGAUGGAAGAGUUUGUGAACCUCAAGCAGGAGAGAAUGUCUGUCAAGGAAUAUGCCUUGAAGUUUUACCAGUUAUCAAGGUAUGUUCCUGAUUUAAUGGCUAGCAUGCGGGCUAGAAUGAGGAAGUUCAUUUCUGGGUUAAAUUGGGAUUUAUUUUGGAGAGCAAAAAUACCUUGAUGAUUAAAGAUAUGGACAUCUCUAGGUUUACAGUUCAUAUACAGUAAGUGGAGUAUGAGAAGAGGAAGCAGGCAGUGUUCAAAGAUAGGCAGGGAAAGAUGAGAAGGUUUUCUGAUCAGGAAGGUGCUCAAUCUUAUGGUGGUAGAGAUGGUGGCAAGUGGCAGAAAAAAAAAGAGUUCUGGUGCCUACUCUUCUGCUAGUGUUCCUUACCAGUCGAGCAACAGGCGACAUUAUGGUGGUGACAAUUCUCGGGCACAAGGUGCCUAAUCUCAGGCGAAUGAAGGUCAUUCAAUUUUUUGAUGUGGUCAUCCUCAUUGUGAUUAUUGAGAUGAAGAAAAGGAUAGAUGCUUCAGUGUGUCCAGACAGGCCAUCGACUCAGGAAUUAUCUGGUUAAUAAGGUUGCUAUGGGGGAAAAUAAGAUUUUUGUGGCUUCAUUUUCUGCUUCUACACCUAGUGGUGUAGCACCUUCUUCUAUUACUGCUCUUGGUUCUAGUGUUGGUUGAAAUAGUUUAUAUGCUUUGGCAUCCCAACAGGAAUUCGAGGCAUCACCUGAUGUCGUUACUGGUACGUUAUAGCUUUUUUCUUGUAACGUAUAUUAUUUUCUUAAUUCAGGGUUUACUCUUGCCUAUGUGACUCCUUAUGUGGUUAUAUCUUUUGGUUUUGAUCCAGAAGUUAUUUCGAAUUCUUUUUCUAUUUCUACCCCAGUAGGUGACUCGGUUAUUGCUAAUAGAGUCUAUAGGGUGUGUGUGGUAUAUGUUGGUGGAAAGCAGACCUUGGUGGAUCUGUUUGAGUUAGAUAUGGUGGAUUUUGAUGUUAUUCUGGGUAUGGACUGGUUAUACUCUUGUUACGCAGCUUUGAAUUAUCGGACCCGUAGGGUUAUCUUUAGGUUUUCUAGUGAAUUGGUUAUAGAAUGUGAGGGAGCUUCUUUAGCUCCUAUGGGGAGGUUUGUUUAUUAUCUUAGAGUUCGGAGGUUAAUCUCCAACAGUUGUCUUUAUCACAUGGUCCGAGUUAAAGAUUCUAACUCAGAUGGUCCUUCUUUCCAGUUAGUUCCAGUGGUUAAUAAGUUUUCAAAGGUCUUUCCAGAUGAUCUUCCUAGUGUUUCUCCAUAUAGGGAAAUAGAGUUUGGUAUUGAUAUAAUUCCGGAUGCUUAUCUAAUUUUUAUUCCUCCGUAUAGAAUGACUCCGGCUGAGUUAAGGGAACUCAAGGAGCAACUUAAGGAUCCUCUAUAUAAAGGGUUUAUUCAUCCUAGUAUAUCUUAUUGGGGUGAACCAGUGUUGUUUGUGUGCAAGAAGGAUGGUUCCCUUCGGAUAUGCAUUGACUACAGGCAGUUGAAUAAGGUGACGGUUAAGAACAAGUAUCCUCUUUCAAGGAUAGAUGAUCUGUUUGACUAGUUGAAAGGUUCCAAGUUCUUUUCUAAGAUAGAUCUUUGGUCGGAGUAUCAUCAUCUAAAGAUUAGGGAGGUGGAUAUCCCUAAGAUGACUUUUCAUACUCGGUAUGGGCACUUUGAGUUUCUGGUGAUGUCAUUUGGGUUGACUAAUGCUUCGAUAAUAUUUAUGGAUCUGAUUAAUAGGGUAUUCAGUCAGUAUUUAGAUCUCUUCAUCAUUGUGUUUAUUAAUGAUAUUCUGGUUUAUUCGAAGAGCAAGGUGGAUCAUAGUAAUCACCUUCGUAUGGUGUUAUAGACCUUAAAAGAACAACAGUUAUAUGCCAAGUUCUCCAAGUAUGAGUUUUAGUUGAACGUUGUGACUUUCUUGGGUCAUAUUAUUUGUAGUGAAGGGAUCGUGAUAGGUCCAUAGAAGGUUGCUGUGGUGAAGAGGUGGCCUAGACUUAUGAUUUCAUCCAAUAUUCGGAGCUUCUUAGGUUUAGCCGGAUAUUACAGACGGUUUGUGGAAAGCUUUUCAUCAAUAGUUGCUCCUUUGACUAAUUUGACUCAGAAGAAGGUUAAUUUUUCUUGAUCAGAUGCUUGUGAAUGGGAGUUUUAAGAAGUUAAAGGAUAAGUUAACUUCGGCUCCAAUUCUGACUUUGUCGGAAGACAGUGAUAGGUUCGUGGUUUAUUACGAUGCAUCUCGGGUAGGUUUUGGUUGUAUGUUGAUGCAGCAUGAGAAGGUGAUUGCCUAUGCUUCCAGACAUUUAAAGGUACAUGAGAGGAAUUAUCCUACUCGUGAUUUGGAGCUAUUGGCGGUUGUGUUUGCUUUGAAAAUAUGAGGGCAUUAUUUGUAUGGUGUCCACGUGGAUAUCUUUUCUGAUCAUAAGAGUCUACAGUAUGUGUUCACCUAGAAAGAGCUUAAUCUCAGGCAAGUAAAUGGCUUGAGCUUCUCAAGGAUUAUGAUAUGAGUCUUUACUAUCACCCACGUAAAGCUAAUAUGGUUAUUGAUGCUCUUAGCAGGUUAUUCAUGGGGAGUUUUGCUCAUGUAGAGGAAAGAAAACGAGAAUUGGUGAAGGAUAUUCACUGCUUGGCUAAUCUUAGAGUUCGUCUCUUAGACUUCAAGGAUGGCGGUGUGGUGGUGAAAGAAGUGGUUAGAUAGUCUCUUGGAGCGAAGAUUAAAGAAAAGCAAGUGUUGGAUUCUAUCUUAAUAAAAAUUAAGAGUGACAUUGGUGGGAAAAAGGUAGUGGUGUUUGAGAUCGGUGGUGCUGGUACUUUACGGUACCACGGGAGGUUAUGUGUUCCUGAUGUCGAUGGGUUGCGACAAAGGAUUUUGGCUGAGGCACAUGAGUCAUGCUAUGUUGUUCAUCUCGGCUUGACUAAGAUGUAUCAUGAUCUCUAAGAGAUCUAUUAGUAAAAAGGUAUGAAGAGGGAUGUGGCUGAUUUUAUGGUCAAGUGUAUGGUGUAUUAACAGGUUAAGGUUGAGCACAUGAGGCCAGGGGGGUUGUAUCAAGAAAUUGAUUUGCCCGAAUGAAAGUGGGAAGUAAUCAACAUGGACUUCGUUACAGGUCUUCCUCAGUCUCAAAGUUAAUAUGAUUCGAUUUGGGUCAUCAUGGAUAGGAUGACUAAGUUUGUGCACUUUUUGCUAGUCCGGCCUACUUUUUCUGUGGAGAAUUAUGUGAAGUUGUAUCUUCAGGAGAUGGUAAAGCUGCAUGGGUACCUGUUUCGAUUAUUUCUGAUUGUGGCACGCAAUUUACAUCUCACUUCUGACGGUCUUUCUAGAAAGGGUUGGGGACUAAGGUGAGUCUGAGUACUGUUUUUCAUCAGCAAGCGGAUGGGUAAGUGGAGAGAACUAAUCAGACAUUGGAGGAUAUGCUUCGAGCCUGUAUGAUUGAUUAUGGUAGAAAUUGGUUUAAGCAUCUACCUUUGGUGGAGUUUGCUUACAACAAUAACUAUCAUUCUUGUAUUGGUAUGGCCUUUUUUGAGGUAUUACAUGGUAGGAGGUGUAGAUCUCCUAUUGGUUGGUUUGAAUUUUGUGAGGCGGACAUGUUUGGUCCCGACUUGGUCUACCAGGCCAUAGAAAAGGUGAAGGUGAUUUGGGAUAGGCUUAAGGCUGCCCAAAGUCGCCAAAAGUCCUAUAUAGGUGUUAGGCGUAGAGACUUGGAGUUUAAAGUUGGGGAUAAGGUUUUCCUCAAGGCAUCUCCCAUGAAGGGAGUAGUGCGGUUUGGCAAGAAGGAAAAGCUCAGUCCCCGAUAUAUUGGUCCUUAUGAGAUUUUACAGAGAGUGGGUAAUGUUGCUUAAGAUCUAAAGUUUUCUUAUAUCUUGAGCUUAGUUCAUCCAGUCUUUCAUGUUUCUAUAUUGAGAAAGUGCAUUGGUGAUCCUUCUUCAGUUAUUCCUUUAGAAUGGUUGGCUCUCACAGAUUCUUUAUCUUAUGAAGAGGUUCCAAUUGAGAUCUUGGAUAGGUAGUUCGUCGAUUAUGGACAAAGGAUGUGGCUUCGGUUAAGGUUCUUUGGUGGAACCAUAAGGUGGAAGAAGCUACAUGGGAAUCAAAAGAGGACAUGAAGUCUAAAUAUUCGCAUUUGUUUUUUGUUCUUGGGAUUCUUGCAGAAGGUAUAUGUAUUCAACACGUCUUUGUUUUCAAAGUUUGUCAAAAGAAAGAUUUAUAUAUUUGCCUCUUUGUUUUUGAACUUUGUUAAAGAUUGGGAAUAUCUUUGAUAAUGCAAAUGACUCUAGCGUAUGGUUACCCUUACCUUGUCCGUCAUUCAGGGAUAAAUGUUCCCCUAGUGGGGAAGACUGAAACACUCUAGUUUUUGAACCUUUGAAAAUUUCUUGAAAUUCUAAUCUUUGAACCCAAUAUGACUCAUGAGUACGAGCCGUAUGUAGGGGUACGGAUGGCAUGGUCCAGUCGUAUACUGACCAGUGUUGGUUGGUGGGAUGGAUUUUGUUUACUAAAAUAGAUACGACUUAGGCGUAUGAGUCGUAUUGGUGGUUACAGAUUAUUUGGUUCCUUAACUUAAUCUUAGACUUGGUUAAUUAGGUUGGAUCUGAGUACAAGUGGCUCACCAUAAGCCGUAAGCCAGGGUACGAAUCGUACCAGGGACUUGUAUGGUAAACAGUGUCCAAUCCUCCUGGUAUUUUAUUCUGCUAGGGAUACGGGUCAUGGAUGAUUCGUAUAAUGGAAAGUGUUUUCAAGGGUUGAGGCUUGGAUACCAAUCGUAUUGGGAGGGUAUGACUCGUAAGGGUCAGUCAUAUCCCUACGAUGGAAUUUUGGGCAACUUAAGUGAGGGUAUUAUAGAUAUUUUCCUACUUAUCCUAUUAGGGUUCCAUGACUUCUAACCUACCUAGAAGGUUAUUUAUCCUAAUAUUCUAUUCAUUAACACUUAGAAACUCUUCCUAAGCACUUCAUAAUUCUCUUAAGAGCUAUUGGGAAAGGAAAGCUAGGGUUUUAACUAGGGGAUUAUCUUGGUGAUUUCUUUCCAUCGUCAUCUUGGUUUAAGGCAUAUUUCUCUCCACUCAUUGUUAAUUUAUUUAAAGGCAUGGUUUAUAUGAAUGUUUUCAUGGCUUUAUGAUUGUAUGGCUUUGGCUUUCAAAUAUGAUUUUAUUUGGGAGGGGGGUUGAUGUUAAUUGCUUGGUUAUGGUUUCUCGUGGUUUUAAUUAUGCUUUUAUAUGCAUUAAUAGUGGUUUUGGAUAAUUGGAUUGAAUGAGAAUGGUUUAUUAGUAAUUGGAAUUGGUUUUGGUUAUAUUAUAUCCCCAAUGUGUUUGACAAAAUGCUUAUAAAGAUAUGUUCAUUGCAUUGACUUUUUUUAAGGGAACUCUUGCAUGUUUUAAACUUGGUAAAAGAACUAUGCAUGUUUUAACUAGUUUUGAAAGGCUAAAGGCUAGGUGCUUAUAGGGAACAUGGAAGUCUCCCAAGUGGUUUAAAACGGUAAAUGGAAAGGCACUUGAAAGUCUCUUUAAACCUAUAAAUGGUUGGCUAUGGAUGAUACUUGCAAGUAAGGGUUGGUAUGACGAUACCAAUAUCAAUUGCCUUGAUUAAUAAAUGGAUAAUGGUUUGGUUAUUUGGAAAUUGAUUUUAAUUGGGCAAUAAUGGUGGUAUGUAUAGCAAAGCCGUGGAAGGUGGAGGUAUCGAGGGGACCGAAACUAGAAACUCAUACUUACUGAUAUGAGGUUGGUCUUGGUGACUGUGUGCAAGAUGUCACACUUUGUUUUUAGGAUGUACUAGUCAUCCCAUGGGAUACUUCGUUGGUCAUGCGUCUACACACACUCGGGCUCUUUCAAUAGGGGGAGUUGAACCCAUAUAGCCUAUGGGUGGUUUAAGACAGCAAAGCUACACAACCCAGGUAAAGGUUUUAAAAGCAGUCUAAAACCGGGACCAAAACUAGAAACUCAUACUUGUCGAUAUGAGGUUGGUCUUGGUGACCGUGUGCAAGAUAUCGCACUUUUUCUUGGGGAUGUACUAGUCAUACCAUGGGAUACUUCCCUGGUCACGCACUGGGGCCCUUUCAGCAGGGAAAGUUGAACCCAUAUAGCCCGUGGGUGGUUUAGGAUGGCAAAGCUACACAACCCAGGUAAAGGUUUUAAAAGCAUGCUAAACUCGGUCCCAUUUUCCGGCAUGGAUAUAUAUAUAUGUGUGUGUGUGUGUGCGUGUGUGUGUGUAUAUGAUUGUAUGCAUCAUGGAUGGUUUUACUUGGUUUUAUAAAUGGCAUUAUUUUAUCCUUACCCUGAGAUCAUACUAGUAGUCACUCGUUAACCCUGGCAGUUGUAUACGCACGCUAUACAAGAACCAACCGUUCUACUCCAUCUCGUACAUAGUGAUUAACUCGGGGACAGUAUUUGGACUGAAAUAGUGAGCUUCUAUCCUUUCGAAAGACAUUAUUUCAUGUUAUGAUAUUUUUAGACAUUUUGACUUUAUUUUAGAUAUUGGUUUUGGCUAUAAUUGGAGGCAUGUCCAAAUCAGAUUUGAUUAUUCUUUUGGAUAGAGGCUUUGUGGUACUUCUAUGGGUUGAAAUGGGUAGGAUCGGUAUUGGUGUUGGCUUUGGCAUUGGAAUAAGCCGGUGGGCUGACAUCAUAGGACGAUAUUAUUGUUUGUUCCAUCCUAUUACAUUUUGGGAUUAAUUAUAUUAUGUUUUGGAACAUCCUUGGUUAUGGUCUGGUUUAUGGCAUUUGUUUGGUAAUGUUUGGUAAGGUUGGACUAUUGGUAUGGAAGGGGUGCACUAAGUUGGGUUGGUCACGGUUGUGAUCUAUUCCCAGAGUCCUUAUGUGAGCUGUUACACUAUUUUGUUACAUGCUUGUAAUUCAGCUAACUUAGGGAAGGUGGCUAGAGGUUGGGUUGGGUAACGGGGGUGGUCUCCUAUCUUGGUUGGACUUGGGAUGCCUAUUAUGACAAGGCCCCAGGGCAGGUAGUGUUAGAAAUUCAAAAAUAGAGGUCCAUUUCUUCAUCAAAAGUGGCAUCCCAUUCAUAUAGUAUGGUCCACAAGACAAGAUAUUAACCUUGUCCUAAGUAUGUUUAAAUUUGUCAAUGUAGAACCCUUUCUCAUGAUAGAACAACUCAUGCAUUGAUACAGUAUUCCAAACUUUAGCUAUAUAUGAUUUCAAAUAUGCAUAACUAGGAGCCUCUCCCAUAGUGUACAAGAUCAAAGCACUACUCUAUUCAUUCAUAUAAUAUGUUACAUCUUCUUUUUUCUAAUGUAACAGUUAUUUUUCUAUCAAUCACCAUUGGAGCAACAUAAGUGAGAGACAUACCAUGUGCUGCAGUACGAUUUUGUGUAAAUAAGCUUACCCAAUUUGCCUCUACACCUGUCCCUUUCUGCUUUAGCUGAGAUCUCUCUGGUAUAGAGCUUACUGGCCUUGGAUUCAUAAAAUUACUCAAACUUUCUUCUUCCUGAGCUUUGCUAGACGCUGUUUGCUUUCCUUUGUCACUCAGGUGUAUCAGAUCUGCAUCAUCCUCUUAUAAUGUCAACUCAGUUACAGUUUUAUUAGUUACUAUAAUCUUACUUGCUUCGAAUUCAUCCACUUCUUCCUCUAAGUCUCGAAUUGGUGCAUCGUCCUCCGCAUCCUUAGUUUCUUCCUAACCUCAAUCUCCUUCUUCUGUGGUCGAGCUCUGAUACGCCCAAAUUACACCUCUCUUAUGAGAGAGUAAGCGAUUGCUGUUAAAUAUAGAACCCAACUGGGUUGGGUGUUGAAUCCCACAGAGAAUACCAUGUUUACUAAGUAUUGUGAAUAUUAUUAGACUGUUGAUCUAAGGUUCCUGAGUAGAAGGGAGUUUGAAUGUGUUAACAAUGUUCUUUUGUAUUUGUGUCACACAAAAGUCCAGCUACUGAGAGUUAAUGUAGAUGUAAUUUCAAUGAGAAUGAAUUAACUAGAGUUAUGCUCACUAAGAUAUUCAAACAAUUAGGGUUGUGAGUUUGUGUUUGAAUUCUAACUUAUGUAUUCAAUUGCAAGAAUUAUUGAAUUCUAAGGAUUACCCACGUGUUUCUCAACCUAAUGAGUAUUUCACCCUUUACUUCUCUCGAACUUAAAGGAUUCAUGCAUUAUUUAAUAACACUCUCAUGAGGGUUGAUCCUGUUAAGGCAUCAACCCAUUAACCCCAAAGGAUAAACCUUUGGAGUUCAUGUGAAUCACUUUUUUCCCAACAUCCACUUUCUUGUCAGACAAGUGGAGUUCAUGGGCUCACUUCUCAAGUUUGCAACAAGAGAUGUCAUUAUAAUGAAGAAAGAUUCUUGCAAUUUCGAUAGAUGUUAGAAAUCAAACCAAUUCACAACCCCAAAAUAGUUCUCUACAUCAAGGCUCCCAUAACCCUAGUUAUGAGAGUUUAGCUACUUAUCUCCAUCUAAGAAAUCAAAGAUAUUUUGAUGUUCAUAAAUGACUUCAAUAGGGCACUUACAAAAGUCACAAUAUUGUUCUUCUCAAUCUUCAAUGGAAAAUAUAAAAACUAAUAAUCAAAUCUCAAUCUCUAGAUUCAAAUCUCAAUGAAAAGUGUUACACAACUGUCAAUAGAGGAGAAAGUAUGAAACUAAUGAUAUAGGAUACGGACUAAACCUUAAUACUUAGUAUUUAUAUAAUUUCAAAACUGGGGUUUUAAAAUUCAAACUCAGAUUUUUUGCUUUAUGGUCGACGGGUUAAGCUACGGUUCGUCGCAGGUCCGAUGGUCCGUCACCUGCACCGUCGCUGGGUCUCCAGUGACUUCAUUCUCUGCUUCUGGGAGACGGGUAGUGCGACGGCCCUUCACAAGGUCGACGGUCUAUCACCUGGAUCGUCGCAGGGCUUCCAGUGAUUAUGCGUUCUGUAUCUUGGCAACAGUUCAUCGCAGAGCCGACGGUCUGUCACCUGGACCGUCGCAGGAUGUUCAAAUUCUAUGACAUCUGAUUUUGGUUGAUGGUUUAGACCGACGGAUCAUCGCAAGGUGACGGUCCGUCACCUAAGCCAUCGCUGCUCAUGUUACCUCUGUUUUGCUCAGAUUGUCCAAGUUAUCUUUCACACUCAGUUCUUAUCCUGAAAGCACUAAAAUACCAUGUUAAAUACAACAAUGGCUGCUUGAAAACACACAAUUAUCCUAAGAAAAAGACCUAAAAUGUUCUAUCAAAACCCAGAACAUCAAACUCGUCCUCAUCUCGCCAUCGAUGCGCACGUUAGCAAGAAGGGAUAAACAUGUGUUGGGAGAAAAGAAUUUUUCUAAUUCAAAUUAACUUUUAAAUUAGUUGAAUUGGCGAAUCAAAAUUAGUUGAACUAAUAUUAUUUGGUUUUGCUAGUUAGAGGAGCAGACAAGAUGCACUUUUAUCAACCCUAAUUUUAAAUUAAAAGUCCAUCUGGUCAUGAAAUUUUUUUACCUUUUUCUGAAGUUGUGGAAACACAUUUACCCAUUAAAUUUUUAAAAAUUUUGCUAUUACUUUUUCACCUAAAUAAUCCAUAAUAAAAAAAAAACUCUAAUUCAUUUCAUCAUUAAACAUAACUCUAAUUUCUAAAUAUCAUUUUUCAUUUUACAAAUAAUUUUUUUUUAUUUUUACAAUGAAACAUGGUCACACACCUAGUAAAUAUUUUUUAUAAAUUAAAAGUGUACUUAAAUAGCACAUAUAAAUCGGCUACCGAGUGUACUUCCUAAAAAUGAAAUGGAAGAGAAAAUAAGCAGAAAAUUUCAUGUAUGACUCCCAUAGUUGGUUGCUUUAUUUUUUUGUCCCCUAUAAUAAAAGUCUUUAAUGACUAGCCUUCUUUCUUUUUAUAUAUAGAAUGAGUACAUUUUUAUCCUUCUACAUCACAAAAUAUUUUUACACUUUUCAUACUCAUUUGUCUCUCAACUUUAAUUUUUAUUUUUAUUUUUAUUUAUUUUUAAUUUCUUUCUUAAUUUUUUUUCAUAUUUUAAUUUAUUUGUCUCAACCUUUAUUUUUUUUCUCAAAUAUUAUUUAUUUUUUUUUUAUUUUUUUUAAUUCAUUUGUCUCAAUCUUUAUUUUUUUUAAUCUUUUGUGUUUAUCUUUUCUCAUUUUUUUUCUCAAACUUUAUUUUUAUUUUUUUCUUCUCAACUUUGUUUUUCUCAAUCUUUUUUUUAUUAUUAUUUUUUUUAUUCUUCUCUUUCUUCUUUUUUCUUUUUUCUUUUUUCUUAACCUUUUUUUUUUCAUUUUUUUUUCUCUAUCUUUAUUUUUUUUUCUUUCAUCUAUUUUUCUUAUCUUUUUAUUUUUUGUCUACUUCUAUUAUAUUUUACUAAUAAACAAAAAUUGGAUAAUUGCCUCUAAAAAAAAAUAUAGAACAUUUCAUAAAUCGACACAAUAUGAUAGUGUCAACACUUAGCCAUGGAGCGUAACUUGUUGUUUGAAGUCCUUUACCUGAGUCUUGCUUCUGAGGCAAGAGUUAUAUAACAUCUCAUAAAUCAAAAUAUAAUGUGAUAGUAUCAAAUCUUGUCCAUGGAGUGUAACUUAUUGUUUGAAAGUCUUUGGGCUAAGUAUUGCCUUUAAGGCAAGAGUUAUAGAGCAUAUCAUAAAUUAAAAUAUAAUGUGUUAGUGUCAACUCUUACUCAUGGGGCAUAGCUUAUUGUUUGAAAGAUAUCAAUGAAAAAAAUAGAAAAUAGAAAAUAAUACAAGUUGAGGAAAAUAAUAAUAAUAAUUUUUUUAAGAAAGGAAAAAAUAAAAAUUAGAGAAAAUAAAAAAGAGAAAAAAAAAGAGCUGAGAGGAGAAAAGGGAGAAAAUGCAAGUUGAGAAAAAAAGAAAAAAACAGAGAAAGAAAGGAUAAAAAAUAAAAAAAUAAAUAAAGUUGAGAAAAAUAUAAACCAACAAAGUAUAAAAAGGAGAAAGAAAUAUUAAAAAAAUAGAAGUUGAAGGAGAAAAGGAAAAAAAAGUAAAGAUUGAGAAAGCAUUAAAAAAAGAGAAAAAAAUAAAAAUCAAUGUAAAAUAAAUAUUUUUCAUAUAUAUGUUGGAACGGAUGCAAAAUCUUUCUUGAGAGCUAAUUGAAUGUAUAACUGAUGUCUUGCGUUAAUUUUAUAUAUAUAUCAAAUAAAAAACUAAUAAUACAGACAAAAAAUAUAUUUUUUUAGUACACUCUACCAAACGAUCCCUAAAUUCACCCACUAUAGCUGUCAUUUUUAUAGUUUUGCCAAACUAACUGUGGGUGGUGGGUCACUCAAACCCAGUGGCCCAAUACUUUGAAUUUGAAUACUUUAUUAAAACGGAGACCGCCCUUUGAGAAUUUGAAUUUGAAUAACUAAUCUCAAAACCCACUUUUUCUUCCAACGGAUACAGAGUGAGCGAGAGUGUGUGCGUGUGUUACAAAGGGUAAAAAACAUUUUUGAAUUUUGGAGUUUGAUCUUCACCUAAGGUUCGUAAAUCUUAUUCUUCAACCAGCGGAAAUUAUCAAAGGUAUUUGUGUAAAUAGAUAUAAUCCAUGUAAUCCUUCUUGUUCUUUCUUCUAUGCAACUACAUAAUUCUUUGACUUCUUUUUUGUGUUUUUUAGUCCAUUUUCGUUUAAAAAGGAAAAAUUGGGGUGGUGAAAGUGGAUGCCAAGGUUUAGGGUAGUAGGUUAGUAGAUAGUAGUGUGUUGUCUUGUUAUCUGUUCUUAUACUAGUAUUUGUAGUAUUGCUCAUAUACUAGUAUUGUUUCGUGUACUUCAAUUAUUGUACUAGUUUGCUUUAUUUUGCUUUCACUUUCGGUAAUUUUUUAUUUUGAUUGCUUUGAAUUGUUUUUUUCUUGAGCCAAGGGUCUACCGAAAAACAACCUCCCUGGGUAAAGUUUGCAUACACUCGAACCUCUCUAAACUCCACUUUAUGGGAGUACACGGUAUGUUCGUUGUUGGGGUAGGUAAAGUGGAAAUGAGGUGGGGCAUGGGGGGAUUAUAAGGUGGGAACUCGAAACCUCACCAAAAAAGUUUAAGUUGAGUUAGUCAACCAACUCAUCUACUAAAAUCACACCCUUUUUUUUUCUGAAAAAAUAAAAAUUGGGGGUAGGAGAAAGGGGAAGGGGAUUACAAGGUAGAAAAUCGACCUCACCGGUAAGAUGAAAGUUCAGGAAGCAAAUCCACUAAGCUACUAAGAUUUCUCCCAUUUUUGGAUUUACUUUUGUUGUAAGUAUUAUUUUAAAAAAAAAAAAAAAAAACUUAAUGAUCUUAGUCAUUCUUACUCUAAAUUUGAUUAUUCUUACCAGAAAAGAGGAGGAUUUAAGUUGUAUUAUCACAUAUCUAUUCGUACUGUGUUCUUAGGUAAGAGCUCCUAGUCAGGAGAGUUUGGGUGUGGAGGGUGUCUCUGGCCUGUGAGUGUCUGUUACUACUAGGUGGGUGUCGUUUUUCGGAUGCCCUAUUUCUUAUCUCUUAUUGCACAUUGCACUUGGUUACCUUAUCUCAUAUUGCUUUGAUUUAUAUUUAUGUCUUAAUCCUUUUUAUUUGAUGUUAUCCAUCUUACUUCAUGUUUCAUUACGCUUUUGUUUAUUAUUCCUUAUCUUGAGCCGGGGGUCUAUCGGAAACAACCUCUCUACUUCUUUGGAGGUAGCGGUAUGAACUGAGUACACUUUACUCUUCCCAAACCCCAACUUGUGGGAAUACACUGGAUUUGUUGUUGUUAUUGUUGUUGUAUCACAUAUGUAUUAGUAGUUUUAAAGCAUAAUGUCAGCGAAUAGAACUUGAAGCCUAAUUUAAAUGGAUGGUUAAGUUAGGAAUUUGGUAUAAUAUUGAUUAAAGGGAACGUUUUGGUAUUAAUGGAGCUGAGUUCUUUCUGGAAUUGAUGAGUUUUUUGUAUUAAAUAGUUAAAAUUCCUCAAUUUCUGAGGUGCUUAACUGAUAAUUACCUAACUAAAUGAAGUUAUCAGUUUUAGAAAAAUAAUAAUAAUUACAUAACUAAAUAAGGGCUUUUCUCAAAAAACUUAUUCACAUUCUUGGGUAGGUGCUUAACCACUUUCAGAUACGCAAGAUCGAUAAACAAAGAUUAAAAGAAAAGGGAUAUAUCCCCAUGAUAAUGAAUUAUUCAUAGAACAAGUCAAAGUGUACAACAACAACAUACCCAGUGAAAUCCCACAAGUGGGGUUUGGGGAGGGUGGAUUGUCGGCAGAUUUAUCCUCUCAGAUCACUCUGCCUGUGUGAGCUCGUUCACAUUAUCGGUCCGAAGCCUGGAUAAAGGAUGAGGGUUGCCUACGGUCUAUCAGAAACAAGCCACUCUAUCCAAUAAAGGGUAGGGGGUAAGGCUGCUUGCAUCUUACCCUCUUCAGACCCCAGUUGUGACCUAUGGGAUUACACUGAGAUUUUUGUUGUUGUUGUUGAUUUAUGCUCUCAGUUGCAAAACCUUGAAUGAGUUCAAACUUUUUCUUAAUGUUCCUUACAGAGGUAGAUGAGUUGUUCCAUAAAAAGAAGAAACAUUUGUUCAAAAUAUUAAUCUGGGAUGCUGUUUAUUGAAAAAGUUAGUACUUUGUUCGACAAGACUACAAUUUUAAAAUGCUGAUGUCAUUUAUUUUAUUGUUGUUAAAUAAACAGGUUCUGUUGUCCCCCGGCAUUAAUAUGCAAAUGGAUGGUCUUAAAACAUGUCAAACAGAAAACUAUUCAACUCCUGGGAAAGUACAGCAGCUAGAAUCCUCUGUGGUCGCGAAAGUUAGAGUUAUUGUUAGAGUUCGCCCCUUUCUUCCUCGAGAAAGAAACUCUAUAGAUGGAAAAACAAUCUCUUGUGUUUCUGUUCUCAACUCAGAAUGUCAGUCUUCUGAUGAUGUUACAGUUCAUCUCAAAGAUCAUGAAACUAGGUAAUUUUUUCCUCAAUUGUUGGCAUGUUCUAAGAUUAAAUCUGUCACCAGAACCUUAUCCUGGGUACCCUUUUGUUUUUGACUGUAGUCGUAAUGAAUGCUACAAGUUGGAUGCCUUCUUUGGUCAAGAAGAUAACAAUAUAAGUCAAAUAUUUAGCAAAGAAAUCAGUCCUUUGAUCCCUGGGAUAUUAGAAGGCCGCAAUGUCACGGUAUUUGCUUAUGGUGCUACAGGGAGUGGCAAAACUUACACCAUGCAGGUAUGUUUUAUUUGUCUGCAUAACACACAAUUUGCUUCAUCACUCCUGCAAUUGGAUUAGAUGCUAAAAUAUACACGCGGAGUAGGAGACAUAGAGUUUUAAGUUAUAAUGGACUCAAUGUUUCUUUUCAAGUCUUCCGCUGUUCUACAACUUCUGUAACAUAGAUCCACGAGUGAUCAAAGGACAUAUUGGACUUUUCAGAUUGCAACCAUGCAUAAGCUUAGCCCAUAUAUGCAGCCAUUUGGCCUUAACCUAAAACUUUUCCAUUUGACCUCUUCAAAGAUAUGUAUGUCAAGUAUAUAGUUCCCUUCAGGCCUUCCUAAUUCCUGGAUGUGCAUGUGAAUUGUUUUGAAAAACCUUGUUGCUGAUGCAGGGAUCUGAAAAUCUCCCUGGUCUAAUGCCACUUGCAAUGUCCUCUAUUCUCUCGAAGAUUCCAGGGAAAAGUACCAUAACCAUUUCAUACUAUGAAAUAUACAUGGAUAGGUGCUAUGAUCUACUUGAACUUAAGGAGAAGGAAAUCUUGAUAUUGGACGACAAAGAUGGGCAGAUUCAUCUCAAAGGCCUUGCACAAGUUGCCAUUAGUUCAACGUCAGAGUUUCAAGAAGCAUUUUCCUGUGCAGUUCAGAGGAGAAAGGUUGCACAUACGGGUGUUAAUGAUGUCUCCAGCAGGAGUCAUGCAGUGCUCACAAUUUAUGUUUCUACUCCAAGCUGUGAUGAUACUGGAAAUGUCAUCACUGGGAAGUUGAACCUUAUUGACUUGGCAGGUCUUAAAAAUUUACUAAACCUAACCAUGAAUUGUUGUAAGAAUAUUGAACUGAAAAGUAACUCACAUGCUGUAACUCUAAUGUCACUGAAUUAGGAAACGAAGACAAUAGACGAACUUGCAACACUGGAAUUCGUCUACAAGAGAGUGCUAAGAUCAACCAGUCCUUAUUUGCACUGUCAAAUGUGAUUUAUGCAUUGAACAACAAUCAACCACGAAUACCUUAUAGAGAAAGCAAAUUGACAAGGGUAUUGCAAGACUCUCUUGGAGGAACAAGCCGUGCUUUGAUGAUUGCUUGCUUGGUAGGAUAUUGUAUACAUCAUCUCUUGCCUUUGAGUUCCAUGAAUGCAACACUGUUCUUAAGAUUGCCAACUAUUUUCAUUUGUUCAUAGAACCCUGGAGAGUACCAAGAAUCUCUUCAUACAGUUAGCCUGGCAGCCAGGUCAAGACAUAUAUCCAAUUUUGUUGCCUCAGCACAAAAAGGAGAUACUCCAAAGGUCAAAGUAGACAUGGAGGCAAAGCUUCGUGCAUGGCUAGAAUCUAAAGGCAAGACAAAAAGUACUCAGAGAAUUGGGGCAUUUGAUUCUCCAUUUACAAGCAAAACUCCAAGUUCCGUAGGUUCUACUAGGAAGCUAGGUUUGUUUGGGAGCUCCUCCAAGCAAAAAUCUAUCAGUAAUCAAGGCGCUUCAAGCAUAAAAAAGAAGUAAGAGAUUACUCUAUGAUCUUGCUUAUUUCUCUAUUACUCUAUUAUCUUGCUGGAUUUACCUGCCUUUGAUUUUGAUGAUUGCUUAACUGUGUUGAACAGGGAUCCAGAUGGAGCUUGUAGAAAUUUAUUUAAAAAUGGACAUCGAUCAAACUUAGUAGUGGAGGUAAAAAAAAAUGAGAACUAUAAUUUCUUCCUAGCUCGUUUUGAGUUUAUGAUGAAGCUAUUUGCUUUAAAUUGAAUAAAAUUCAUUUACGACAGACUCUAUUCAUUGUAGGUCUUUUUUUAAACUUAGCUACUGUAUAUGUGAUUUGAUUUUGAAUGAAAAUGAACCGGUAACCAUGAAACUUCAGUAUAGGAUUACUCAACUUUGUGUUGAUGUAACUAAUGUCUGAUAGCUUGAUAAGCUCUCAAAGGAAACAACAAUUCCUAAAUUUUGGUCAUCCUUAUCACAAAGAAAAUCACUCAGUUUGGUAUGUGAUAAUUAAUAGCUAAGAAGAAUUUUAAUAUAAUCUUUUGAAAGGACAACAGAACAAUUUGACCACACUUUUCAUUAUGGAAGAAUUGGAUUUAAUUAAUAAAUCGUUUUAAGUUGGAUUUCUGCAUUGACGUGCAAAUGCAGGCUUGGGACCUUGCUGAUACUGGUGGACAAAGAGGAGCGAAGAAAUUUGAAGUUUUCUCUGAAAGGGUUGUGCCUGAUUCUAAUACAGCAGUAAAUGGUACUUUUUUAAAAAAAAUUUCUAACCCAGCCUUCAUUGAUCAUUGAUGUGCAAAAAGUUAGAAGUUAAGUCUGGCAUCUCAAACUGUAUACAAGAUCAUUGAGAUGAGGCUAAUAUAGAAGUGUUAAUCCUACCCAAAAAAAGCCUAAGAGGCCAAGGACUCUAAGGGGGGGUCGUAUACAAUGUCGUUAUCCGUAACGUCUUUGGUUCUUAGGGACGGGAUACCCAUCUAUCCAAGUUGGUAGGACCUUUCACUUCGAGGGGCAAGACAGCGAAGGAGUUGAAAAUUUGAAUCUCACUACUUCUAUGACUCAAAUAGGAGAGCUUGUCAGCGGGCUUAUUAGCCUCUCUAAAGCAAUGAGUAAUAUGGGAGUCACUAUCUUCAACUAGUUUCUGAAUAUCAUCAACAAUUCUAGUUGUCUUCCACGGAGUCUUCCAAACUUCUUUAUGCAAUUCGGUAGAAGAAGAGAGUCAGUUUCUCCCCAAACAGGUCUGGGGUCAUUAUUCAAGCACCACCUCAAGCCAAAUAACAUAGCAGCAGCUUCGACAUAGUUGCUGGAACCUGGGCCUAAUGGUAUCACGUAGGCAAAAACAAUCUUUCCUGCGCUAUCUCUUACCAUUCCACCUUCCCCACAAUUUCCAUUAAUACAACUUCCAUCACUGUUGAGUUUUAACAAAUUCACUUGAGGUCUAAUCCACUUGACGAUGGUAGCUUUUGUUUGAUGUAUAUCUCGAUCACAGGCCUGGCGGAUUGUGUUCCGAGUGUCUCCAAUCCUCGCACUCUCAAAUCUCUUCCUCAAUAACUGCAAAAGUUUGAAUAAUGCAUUAGAGGAGGAUUGGUAUAAUGAAGGUCUUUCUCCUUCAUAUUUAUUAGGACAUCUGGCGUGAGAUUGGUAUAAUGAAGGUCUUUCUCCUUCAUAUUUGUUAGGACAUCUAGCAAGCCAGAUUUCCCAACAAAUAAAUGCAGGAAUAAUUUUCAUUAUAGUGAGCAAAAUGGGUUCUUGGUUUUGUGGUUCCACCAAUUGAGAAGGGUGAACUUCAAAUUGGGGUCACUCGUGCUUAUCCAUAGAGGACCUGCAAAAAAUGACCAUAACCAUAUCUCAGUUUUUGCAGUCUGCUUCAUGUAUUCUUCAUAUUAUUCUAUGUAGCUUACUCAUAUUAAGCUAACAAGCACGUGACACUCUCCAACUAUAUAUGUGCCAAAGCUAGUUCUAGUGUUCUCUAUUAAUUCUUGCAACAUCUAGACACUUUUUCAAUGAUGUUGGUGCCAAAGCUAGUCCUCUAUUUUUCUAUCGAUGUUCUCAUAGAGAGUCAUUGAAUAGCUAGUUUAUUAGCAAACUUUCGCUGAUAUACCUAAAACGUUUGAUCUAUCUGACCUGGCUUAUUUUCAUGGUAUUAGGUGUUCGUUGAGUUUCUUACUUUUUAAUAUAAGAUUGCACAUCCCUUUGCGUGACUUGUUAUAAUUAAAUUUUCAUUUUUCUUGAACUUGCUCCGUUUUAGAUUAGCCAAUCUCAGGCGGCCCAUUUCACAAAGAUUUUAAUUAGCCGAUCCCACUGAGCUCCCGGUGUGCUUUCCCCCUCUUUAAAGUAGUUUAAGGGUCGUUACAAAAUCAUUUUCCCCCUCCACUAUAAAAUUGAACCUGAAAAUAGCUCUCAUCUUCGUGUUCUUUCACUUAAACUAGGAGGCAUUCAUACUACUAUCACAUCCCUAACCCCAUAAGCCAUUUAAACCAAUGUCUAAAUCUUUUCAUUUACAUAUGUAACUCAGUUGGAGUUUAUUUGUCUCAUCUUCUCUAUUUGCAGAUAGCUGUGAAAAUUCGUACUUGUUAAAAAUUUUCAAUAUGUAAAUAUAAUAUAUCUUGCAUACCAGCAUUCAAACAAAAUUUGAAGAUUUUUGUCUGUUUGGUCCUCGUGUAGAUGUACAAACCAAUGCAGAGGAGAAAGUGACCAUCGUUGAUUGUUUCAACUCCCUUGGAGCAUGUGAGGUUACUCCUAGGAAUGUCCUUUCUCCCAUCAACUCCAACAUCAACAAUGAGAAUUUGUUAGCGAAGGAUCAAACACACCUCAUCUGCAAUCAGCAGACUCCCAUGUCAUCCUUUGCUUUAAGCAGUUUUGAUGAGAAUAUACCAGCAUUAGGAACUCCACUGGAUAAAUUCAGUGCACGAAGUUCUAACUUAAAGGUGAGAAGGGACUCCUGUUGUCGUUAUAUUCUGAUCUAAGUUGCUCGGGCUCUCCAAAUAUGUUGCCACACCAGUAUCAGAUUCUUCAAAAAUACACUAUUCUCGAAGGAUCCGAGAUGCACCCGUCAACAUUUUUGGAGUCCUAUAAACAUAGAUUCUGAUUGUUUAGCAUUUCUGGUUAUAAUAAUUAUCUCUGUUGAGUAUACAGAACUCUCUUGUCCAAGAGUACAUUGAGUUAUUGAACACAGCCAGCAAGUGAGUGUUAUUCUCUGUCUUCAUUUCCCUUUUACGUUUUCCAUUUCUUCUUUCUUCAUGGAGAAUUAACUUUGUUGUGUUACAUUACAUUGUGUUAGGGAGGAACUCAUGGCGAUAAACGUACGCUAUUGAUCUCUUCACUCUAUUCUAACAUUGUCAUCACUAUAUCAGCAAUGAGUUUUGAGUGCAUUUUCACAUGAUUCUAACGUUGUCAUCGCUUAUAGUUACUGUAACCUUGACUGCAUCUUUCAUAUCAUCCAGGGGAUUGGACAAAAGAUGGCUGAAUACAUUAUUGAUCUAAGGGAAACAAGUCCCAUGAGAUCAGUAAGAAACUCUUUCUUAAGGUCUAUGACGUUGCAUAUUCUUGGUUUAGGACUGAAUAAAACUAAACCUACUUACCUGAUUUGUGCAGCUAGAUGACUUGGAGAAGAUUGGACUGACAUCAAAGCAGGUAAUGCUGUGCAAUGUAUCAUUUGCAUUUCCAUUUUACUUUCUUAGUGUCAUUGCAGUAUAUGCAGCGUUUCUAUAGAGUAAAUGUGAGUUUAUGGAGUAAUAAUGAAGUGUUUUGCCGAUACCCCUAUAGGUUCAUAACUUAUUCAGGUGGGCUGCGAGAGGAGUACUGGGAUGAAAAACUUCUCUGCAACACCUUGUUUUAGGGACAUGUAGAUGAAACAUUGUGUUUCUGGCUAGAACUUCAGUUGUAUUGUAGUAUUAUUUAUGAGUAAUUGGAUUUGAGAGCUUGUAUUAAUUACCUUUCACCCCCCUCAAAUGACGGUUCUCAGUCCCUGUUGUACCAAUUCCAAUCAUAGAUUGUUCAGAAUUUCAGCAGUUCAUAGUUAUUACUCGUUUAUUGAGUUGCAGCUAUCACCAGAUUUCUCCAACUUGUACGUUCCAGAGAAAAAUUGACGCAAAGGCUAGUUUAGAACAAUGUCAUCUAGUUAUUUUCGUGCUGUUGCAGCCUCAAUACAAUUCUGACCGUCCUUUCUCUUCUUUUACGUGCAACCCUUGAUGUUUUAAUCCUUUGCUCCUUCCUUUUCUUGCUCUAUUGCGUUAUUGAAUAGCCUCUGAACCACCCCAUUAUUAGCAGCGUUCCUUAGGGAGAGGUGUCUAAACUAAUACUUAUUUUUCAGACUUAACAGGAUGGACCAUUGCAAUAGUUAUCGAUUUGGCAUUCAGAUAUAUCCCCCAUCUCUUAAAUUCAUCUUAGUUUAAUUCAAAAAAAUAGUAAUCUAAACCUUCUUCAGAGACGCAUAAUAUCACAGCCACCUCACUUUUUGAGUCGACAAUGGCCUUAAGGUGGGUGGCACCACCCUCCACACAAGCACCGCCUGGUGAAGGGGUAGUGAGGAAAGCUAUAGACCCAAAACCUUCUAACUUCCUUUCUAAAUGGGAGUGCCCAAGGCCACCCUCAUCUUCUAAUUUCAUAGUUGCUUAUUCCCAUUAGGCCAGAGUACACACCAACCAUUACAGCCCAAAGAAAUAGAAUGAAUAGUUUUCAGUUCAAAAAGCAAAAUAGAGAGAGGAAUCAAACUGCACUAUUUUCUCAAUAAGUGAACAGAUAAAGGAUCAGAUACCUGCACGAUAACGAAUACUCACACAUCUAACAAGAUUAGCAAAGAAUCUAAAACGAAUGAACUGUCACUACCACUAAUCAGUUCUUGAUAUUUGUGUUGGAUUUAUUAAAAAAACCAACAAUCACACAAAAAAUGGUAUAUUAGGCAUAUACCAGAUAAGGAAAAUAAUCACUUUUUCAUGAGAUUUACUAAUCCUGAAACUAUUUUACUCCCAACUGUACUAAAAUGGUGAAAGUGGGAUAAUAUAGUCGCAUGAGAUAUCCAUACUUAUUCCAUCUCGGGUAAGAAACGACAAGGUUAUAAUGAACAGACAGAAGCACAAGGAAAUGGAAGAGUUUAGGGAAAUAUUACCAAGGAAGUUCUUAAAUUAGCUGAAAGCACAACAUACUUCCAAACUAGUAUGUUAAAAUUACCAGAUGCAGAGAAUGCUCAUGUUACACAAACACCACAUUACCACUACUUACAAACAUGUUUCAAUACUCCAUUACUAUUUCUUAUUACAGGGAAAAAAAGAACAACACAAUCUUUUUCCCUGUUGCAACAGACACACAAACUAUUAAACUACACACAUAUUAAACCAUGAACUCUGCUCUGUUAUAAUAGCUUAGUUUAUUCACUUGUUACAAGUGCAAGGGUUGCACUUGCAGUCAGAUCCACAUUUGCAUCCAUUCUCAGCAGGGGAUUCCCCCAUCUCCAUGGCUCCAAAGCUUGUCUUCUCAGGUCCCACCCCGAGCACCAAAGUCUCGGUGGUUGUCAUGCUCUCGGUGAAGCUCAUGUCGGGGUACAUCUUGCAUCUGCAAAUACGAAACUCAUAAAUUACUCUCAAAAGAUCAGAAACAAGAAAUUGCUAAUAAUCAACCCUAAAUCCUCCUACCCCACAUACGCAAGAAAAUAUCCCAAACGAAACCACCCCACAACAACGGCAUACCGCCCACUAUGUGCAGUGUGGUAGGGUAGGGGAGGUGGUUUCCGACAAACCUCAGCUUAAGGAGAAAUAGUCCUACACCGUCCCAAAAGAAGCAACAAAAGUAGUACAAACAACAAAUAAAAAAAAAAAUAACACACAGUAAUAGAACAAAAAAUAUGGCAUAAUGAUGGAAAUAAUGAUAUCCUUUCAAAAGGUAUAUCUUCCCCUCUCCUAAUUAACCAAGUUUCCAUUCUCUACAAAAUCUAGAUAUUAACAAUUUCAGUUGUGAACUCACUACUCCCUCCAUUCCCAUUUAAUUGCUUCCUUCUCAUUUUUGACCAAUAUCUCGAGAAAUAUUUCUUAAUCAAAUUGAAGAAAAGUAAAAUUGCAAUUUAUAGUACUUUUCAAUUCACGUAGUUUUUGGGAUAUCUAAAUUUUAAUUUUAAAAAUUAAAUUAAAAGGACAUAGCCUGGAUGUAAAAAUGAAAGAUACCCAUGCAUGGAUCAACAGAAUAGGGGUAAAAAAAGACCAGUAUUGUAUUGAGCAAAAUAUUGAUGAAAAAGUAAAAGUAACCAAAAAAUUAGAAACCACCCAACAAUCGCGGAUUUCUUUUUUAUUUCUAUUUUUUAAAAUCAAUCCUUCACACAAAAGGCAUGGGGAUGGAUACUUUUUUAGGAGCAUUUCACUUAAAUAAGUUUUACAAAAUAUACCAAUUCAAAACAGGCUGAGAAAAAUUGAAAAAAAUAGUAAGACGAAAACAACAAAAAAAAAAAAAAAAAAAAAAAAAAAAAAAAAAAAAUAACAACAGAAGAAAAAGUCUUACCCUCCACAGCCAUUGCCGCACUUGCAGCCAGAUCCACAACCGCAGUUUCCUCCACAGCAAGACAUCUUUGUAUGAGAUUGAUUGAUGAGAAUUCACACACACACAAAAACACACAAAACUAAGAAAUGCAAAUGAAAUUUUGAUUAAUGGGGAACGAGUAUUCAGGAACAAUCAUGAGUGUCCAUUUAUAGGAAAAUGGAGGUGAAGGGAGGGGUGUUAUCCACCGUACACGUGUCGUGAUCUUGAGACACCUUGUAAGUCGGUCCAUUCGUGAUAGGAAUAUUGGCCACGUAAUUGUCAUUUUCUGUGCUCUCCAAAAUCUGUUCCCUAUUAUCACCCAUUAUCAUAAUAGUAAUUAAUUCAUUCCUAAUUAAUUAACAUACGUCUCCUACGUUCUGGAUAUGUCCGUCCAAUUUCCGGAGUAAUAUUUACUACUUCGGAUCGCUUUUACGUAUAAUUAAUUUUUUAAUUAAAUUUUUAUUUUUAUUUAUUAAUUUUAACAUAUUAAAAAAUAUAUCUUUUUCUAUAUCAUUCUUAGCAUUAAUUAUUUUCUUCAAAUUAAUUUUAAAAUUUAAUGUAAAUAUUAUUUAAUAAAGAUAAUAUGAUAAAUUAACUAUGUUAUUAGUUACUUUUUCUAAUGAAUCUGUCAAAUAAAACAUAUGUCAAGUAAACCGAAUAGAGAAAGUAUUUGUAUCAAGUGUUUAUACUCUGAGAUUAGCAUAUUUGUUUUUGCACAAUUCGUAAAAAGAAAAGUUUAAUAAAAAAUGUAAAUUAUUCAACGUGAUUUUAUUAAAUUCACAUUAAAUAUUCUCAUUACUUUGUAGAGUUAAUUACUUCUAGAGUAAAGUUGAAAUAAUUUAAUUAAUUCUUGAUUUCUUAAAUAUGUCAAUUAUUUUGAGAUAAAUAUUUUUAAGAAACAUGUCAAGUAAUAUGAGACAGGAGGAAUAUUAAAUUAAUUUUAUUUAUUCUGAAUUUUUAUUAAAUUAAUUUUAUUAAUUAUGCUUUGCAAAUUUAAUUUUGACUAUUAUAUUUUAUAUAGUCAUUACAAAAUCUAUCUAUAUCUAAUAAGAGGGGCAAAAGUCUUAUGUGUCAACACUAGAAAAAUCUUAUUUAAAAAAAAAUAUAUAAAAUAUAUCUAUAUCUGCACAUUAACUACCUCGGUAUAAACUGCACAUUAACUGCCCCUAAAAGAAAUACACGUUUUUUAACCUCUUUUACAGAGACAAACACAUUGUUGGUUUCCAUUUAAUAGCCAAAAAAAAAAAUCAAAAAAAUAUUGGCCAAAUACAACAUCACAAUCAAAGAAAUAAGUUUUGUUGAAUACAUUAGCAAUUUGUUGAAUACAUUAGCAAUUGCAUCUUAGGGAAUUAUGUGGGUAGCAACACUCCUUUAAAUUUAAUUGCAAAAACAAAAUACUUGCAACAGCAACGGAAUCAAAAUACUUUUCAGAGAUCAAUAUUGUCAUCAUCGUCUUCUUCGUUGCCGGUGCUUAAAAGGUAUCGGUGUUGAAAAGGUAUUAUUUGGGCAGAUUCAAAAGACGGUUAUGUUAUGAAUCUAAUUUCCAACCACUCACUUCUCGUAUUGUUGAUCUUACUCGCAGAAGGCAACUCCACCAGGUAUCGCUCUUGAAUUACUCCUUUAGUUUCAUAUUACUUGGCUCUGUUUGUAUGAUGCACUGAUAAAGAAAGCUUUGAUUAGUGAUAGUUUAAAUAUGGCUAUAUCAUAUGAUGUAUUGUUUUAUACUCUAAUUUAGAUUAUUUUCUCCACUAUUUUAAUUUUUUUAAAAAUAAUUUAAUGAGUAAACUUCAUAAUUAUUCAUAUUUUUAUUGUGUUAAUCUUUUUAUCUGAAGUUUACAUUAUCGACAGAGAAUGAAGAAAAAAAUGCAUUACAAAAUCCAUGAAACUGUAACUAUAUAUCUUCCCACAACUUCUCCUUCUUUACAACAAAAAAAUAUAUUUUAUUUAAAUUAAAAAUAAUUAAGAAAUAAUUUUUAAUAAGCACGUUUGGAACUAGAAAGUUACAGUCCUUGGUGUCUACAUCAUAUUCAAUGAAGUCUAAUUUGAGUCGUAGUAUAGUUCAUAGUAGAACUUGGCAUUUAAAAGUCACUUUUGAACUCUAAUAGUAGAGUUCUCAUCAUAUUCAGUAAAAUCUAAUUUGAGUCGUAGUAGAGUUCAUAAUCACUAAUUUAGAUUAUUUUUCCGUAACCUAAUUUUGAAAGAUAAAUACAUUUUAAAAAAAUAUUUAUUUCCCUAUUUUAAUAUUUUUAAAGACAAAAAAUAAGAGAAAAGAAAAAGUGACCCAAAAGAAAAUCUAAAUAAAAUUAAUCACAGUACACUAUGAUUGAAAACUGAUUUACUUAUAAUCAACUAAAACAGUAAAUUUACUUUUGAAAUUAAUUUAAAAGAUAAAGAUAAUCACAAUUAAAAUAAACAACUUCCCACUAUACUCCUACACUUAUCACAAUUCUAAACUGUCUCAGAAACUAAAUUUUUAUUCAUGUUUAUUAUAUAUCUAUUGCAUAUUUUCUGGAUUGAUACAUUCUUCAUUCAACUUCUUCUCAAUUCAUACCCUCUAAUUUAUUUCCUGAAAACAUUAUUACCUUAAAUAUUCUGUGAAAACAUAUGUACAGAUGUGACUUCACCAUUUUGUUGGAUCAGAAAAUUAUCACAGAGUUAUUUAGUAACAAUGAGGAUUAAUUAUAUAGAUAUUUACUCUAAAUUGGGUAGCCUUUAAUUUUUCCCUGUAACAUCAUCAACAAACAUAUGUGACCUUCAGAAUCCAAAGCACAACAGUGUCGUUAUGUUCACUAUGAUUUUUAGCAUGAAUGUGUCCACAAUUUCAAUUCAACAUUGCUUAUCAGGGCAUUCAGAGCGGUCAGUGUAGCCUUUCCCUCACGAUUUCGCUGCAUUAUGAAUCAGGAGAUUUAGUUUUUUCUUACGAAGUGGACACACUAUUAAAAAUCAUGAGAAUUGACGAAUUAGAUGGGAAAUAGUUGCCAUAGCAGAAAGUUUCUUAUUUUAGCACAGAUAAAUACAUUAGAUUACCUUUGAAGCAGAAGUUAUGUGAGGCACUACAACAACAUUCUUUAUCUCUGCAAAAUCAGGUUUCAUGUAGGGCUCAUCCUAAGACAACACAAUUAUCAAAGAAAAGCAAUUACUUGAAUGUAUAAGACAAGGGAAAGCAUUCUACAGUCUACACGAUUAAGUUAUUUUUGACGAGCUUUUUGCUUGGUAGAAAUGGCGUGUGAUAUAACAAUUUCUCAUUGACCUUACAUUUUCCUUUAACAUGUUCAUAAUAGGAGAAUGGAAAAAAAAAAAAAAAAAAAAAAAGAACAGAUUACUAUAGUUAUUACCUCAAGGACAUCAACGCCAACACGGAACAUGGGAUUUUCCCUCAAAUGUUCAACAAGAGCUAUUUCAUCAAUCACAGGCCCCCUACUACAGUUCACAAGUAUUGCUUCCUACAAACUUGAGUUGAGUAAUAUCAAGAUAUUAUAUUUUACCUUUUUCAACAAUUAAAUAUAAUUAGUGUGAAUUUAUUUUAAUUACUUUGUAAGGAUGAAAUUUUACCUUAUUUUUUCAUUUAAUAACUUUAAUAAUAUAUUAAAUAUUUCAUCUUUUAUGUAAUACGAAAAAAUAUCAACUAAAUUGUAUUAACGAAUAUUGUACAACUAAACAUAUAUUUUUUAUGACAAUUUAAAUUUUUAUUUAUUCAUAUCAACUUAGUUAAUGUUGGAUUGGUGGUAGAUUACACAUAUUAAAAAAUAAUAUGAUAAUAACACUGAUUUACUGUAAAAUGAUUUUACAGUCUUAUACAAAAACUCAAUGUCUAAAAUAAUUAUUUAAUAAUACAUUAAUAUUUUUCGCGCAACGCGCGGGUACUUUUACUAGUAAGAGUAAUAUUUUAAAAAAUUGAUAAAACUCUUUUUGAUCUCACAAAUUGUACAAAUAAAUUGAAACAACUAUGUUUAGUAUGAAUCAAGUAAAAUAAAAUGGAGGAGGUACUUUCUUUGUUUCAAUUUAUAUAAGUUAGUUUGACUUGACACGAAAUUUAAGAAAGAAAUAUUUUGAAAUUUAUAAUCUAAAAUAUUUUCUUCAUUUAUUUUUAUUUUUUAAUUUUAUUUUAUAAAAGUCAGUUUAACUAAACUUCUUUAAAAAGGAAAUUCCAUAAAACUUAUAGACUAGUUUAAGCUUUCAAAAAAUAUUAAUUGUAGAAAUAAAAUGAAAAAUUCUUAUCAUCCUUUGUCCUUUUGAUAAAUAGAUAAGUAAUUUGAGACAAUUAUUCACAAAUAAUUUCUAUGACAGUCUUUUAAUUUAUAAUUGAUAUAAUCUAGUAUCAAUUAGACAUGUCCUAUUCACAAAUCUUUAUAAUAAAAGUAACCACAUAAUUAGGUAAUUCUUAAUAAAAUAUCAUGCAAUAAAAUUAGAGUUUGACUGGGGAAUUGUAAAUAUCAAAAAUAAUUUGUAUCAUUUCUAUUUAAUUGACGUCUUCAAAUUUCUGAAAAAAUAAUAAAAAAACUUUUAUAUAGAUACAAUGUUUCCUAAAAUUUUCUUUCUUCUUCAAAAAGAUCAAGUUCAAUUCAUGUUCUUGAUUUUCAAUAGGAUUAUCUCCACUAUUUGUUUAGUGCAGAAUUUCGUAAGCUUGUCAUAUUCACUAACUAGAGGUGCAAGGUCCGUGUCAGCACGAGCCCAACGUUAAGUUAUUUUUACUAUAUAUAGUAAAUUAAAUUGAUAUUAAUUUGAAUUAUGAAUUAUAAAACAUGAAUACACAAAACAUAUUAACUACGUGAUAGUAUUUUUUAAGGAGUCAAGUCUUACAAGAUAAUUAUGUAUAAUUUACUCAUAUAAACAACAAAAUUCGAUGCAUUUAAAAAUUUAUAUCUUUAAUCAUAUGAUCGAGAUUUGCUACAUUAAGAAGAAAAUUUAAGAUUAAAAUUGAUACAUAAGACUUGACAUUUAUUGUAUAAAAUAGAGAAUAAUUGUUGAAAAAGAUAAAGAGUUGUCUAGUCAUUGUAUAUUACAUCACAUGUGGAUUGCAAUUAAUAACCCGCAUUGUAUUCCCUUACUAAGCUGCCAUAGACAUCAUUUGCUUUCAUUUUCUCCUUCUCUUUUAUUUGUCAACUUGUUCUUUGAAGUUAAACUAAAUUAAUAUUUUAAAUUCAAAUUUUAAGUAUUUCAGAAAUUAUAUAAAAUAAAAAAUUAUAAGUUACCAUCUUUCAUAUUAAUUUAAUAUUUGACUUUGAGAACACGAUAAAACAUACUUAUGUAAAUAUUUUAUUGAACUUUAUUUUUGUAUAUGUACCUUCCAUUAAAAUAAUGCUGAUAGAAUGUAUUAAUAAUGUUGGCACUAAUAAUGCUUGUAUUAGUAAUAUUUGUAUUAUUUAUGCUAAUAUUAUUUCUUAUACACUGUUUGAUGUACUGUAUUGGAACUUGCAUUUUUCAAUUUUGAUAUAUUUAAACAAAAGUUGAAAAAAAAGAUGGAUUGCAUAUACAUCCUAAGAUUCAUCCGGAAUCUAGCAUGAGNNNNNNNNNNNNNNNNNNNNNNNNNNNNNNNNNNNNNNNNNNNNNNNNNNNNNNNNNNNNNNNNNNNNNNNNNNNNNNNNNNNNNNNNNNNNNNNNNNNNNNNNNNNNNNNNNNNNNNNNNNNNNNNNNNNNNNNNNGUAUUUUUAAAAUAAUUUAAAUUAUUAAUUAUUAUGAUUUAUAAUAUUUUUAUUCUAUUUUAAUUUAAGUGACAUUGAUAUAAUUUCGAGAGUCGACCAAAUAUUUAUAUCAUUUAAAUUUUUAAAGUUUUUAAUUAUUGAUUUAUAGUAUUUUUUAUGCAUUUUAUAAAAAUAUAUAAUAGAUUAAAUUAUUUAUAGAUAUUUCAAGUUUUUAAUUAUUAUAAUUUAUAAUUUUUUUUAUGUAAUUUUUUAAAAAAAUAUGCUACACUCCUUGUCCAGGGUCUUGUGUCACUGAUAGUCAAUUAUAUUUUUUAAAUAAUUUAAAUUUUUAAUUAUUGUGUAUAACUUUUUCUACUAUAAUUUAAGUGACAUGAUGCUUAGAUGACCAUAAUAAUUAAUAAGAGGUGAUAUAGUAAAAUCACGAUUGAAGCAGCGAAAUAAACAUGUCUUAAAUAACUCACAACAACUAAUUAAAAGUGAUAUAAUAAAAUUACUAUAAAAGAUACUUGUCAAAAAAAAGUAAGUGAAAUCUUAUAUAAGACGUCAAGUUAUUUUAAAACAUCAAGAUUUUACUUAUCAUUUUAUAUCUAUUUUAUCUUUUUAGUUAAAUAUUGAUUAUGUAUUUAAUACUUAGAUGUCUUAUAAUAAUUAAUUAGAGGUGAUAUUUAGUAAAAUUAUAAUUAAAGCAGCUGAAGCAAGCGUGUCAUAAAUGUCUAUUUUAUUAUUUUACUAGAUAUUAUUAAUUUUUUAAUAUGUAAAUAANNNNNNNNNNNNNNNNNNNNNNNNNNNNNNNNNNNNNNNNNNNNNNNNNNNNNNNNNNNNNNNNNNNNNNNNNNNNNNNNNNNNNNNNNNNNNNNNNNNNNNNNNNNNNNNNNNNNNNNNNNNNNNNNNNNNNNNNNNNNNNNNNNNNNNNNNNNNNNNNNNNNNNNNNNNNNNNNNNNNNNNNNNNNNNUUUUAAUAUAUAAAUAAUUUAUAAUAAUUAAUGAAAAAUGAUAUAAUAGAAAGUAAAAUUACGAUUGAAGCAACUGAAAUAAACAUGUCAUGAAUGUCUAUUUUUCUUUUCUUUUUUAAAUUAAAUAUUAUUAUUUUUUUAAUAUAUAAAUAACUUAUAAUAAUUAAUUAGGGGGCAAUAUUGUAAUAAAAUCAAGAUUGAAGCAAUUGAAGCAGACAUAUCAGAAUUUUCUCUUCUAUAUUAGAAAAAAAAAUUAAAUUAGGUGAAAUUAUAGUAACAAAUAAGAAAGAAAGUAAAUUUUAUAUUUGAUAUGAAAUUAAAUAAAGAAUAAAAUUUAUUUAAUUGUAUCACUAAUUAAUUUUUAUAAUAAAUUAUCAUCUUACUAAUCAAUUUACUUAAAUAUAAUAUAUUUGAAACAAUUUUAUACAAUAAAAAGAUAAAUAAAAUUGAAAAAUAAAUGGAAGAUAUAGGGUCCAUGUGUGUGGAAAUAUAUGCAAGGCAUGUGAUGGCAUUAUGGUAAAUUUUAUACUUGGCGUUAUUGGUAAUUAAAAAGCAAAGAAUGGGUUUUUAUUAAAAAAUUUCAUGAGAUUCAAAAAUCAAAGCACAAAAAAUUAUCAAUUUGAACUUAGAACUUGAAAUGAAUGACCAAAUUACCCUUAGAUAAAUUUGUUAUAUCAUUUCCAUUCCAUGACCAAACCACCUCUUUUAUAGAAAUAGAAAAUUAUUUGCAUUAAAUCUCAUAGCAAUUUCGCAGAAAAGAGGAAGUAAACAUAAUUUUUAAGAACACGUUUUGUGCGUAUUUCAAGUCUCAAAUUCUAUGUUAGUUGUUCGAAUAAUAAGCUCUUAUCUUUAUAUUUUUCUUUAUGUAUUUGUAUAUAUAUUCAUGAAAUAUAUUUUUCGACAUAUAAAUUUUUAAAAAUUAACAAAAUUUUAUGAUCAAGGUAGAUAGAUAUUUGAUAAAUAUAGAGUCGUCAAAAUGGCUUAACCCAACCCAACCCACUAUAAGGGUUGGGUUGGGUUGUGAUUUUUGAGCCCAGUUAAAACUGGGCUUAUAAGCCCAGCCCAAGUCAACCCGCUGGCCCUUGAUGCUUGAUUGAUGCUGGGCUGGGCCUGCUCGUAGGCCAAAAUACUAUUUAAUUUAUAUUAAAAUAUAUGAAUAUUGUAAAAGAAAAAGUAAUAAUUAAGAAUAGUAGUUAUUGAAUAAGUUUAAUAUCCUACAUAAUAUUUAACUUAUUAAGUGUUAAACCUUAAUCAUCAAGUAUUGAUGUUGCAUUUGUUAUUGUUAUUCAAUUUAAACUUGGAAUUAAAGAAAAUUGUAAGCAAAAAGAAUUAGAACUAUAAAUAGUGAUUACUUAAUUAUUUACCUAGUAUGUUACACAAUAUUUUACUCAUUUAGCAUUAAAUGGCAAAUAUUAAAAUUUCUAAUCAUAAAUAUAAAAAUUGCAUUCAUCAUGAAACGUUCAAACACUUGUUGCAGCUACACGAAAUCAAUUGCACAACAUUACCCAAAUUCAAAGCGAUAAUAUUUUUAAGUGAAUUUCAAAUAUUAUUAAUUUUUGAUAUAUAACUUUUUGAUAUUGUUCAACUUAUAAAAUUUGCAUAUGAAUUUAGAUGAAUGUUGAUGUUAUUAAGAUAAUGUAAUCAUUGAAUUCAAAUAUAUUUGACAAUGUAUUGGUGUUGAAAUAUUAUAAACCAUCGUAGAAUUAUUUACUUUAUAUAAUAAGGAAAAAUUACAGAAAAUAGCACACUUAAGACUAUAAUUACAAUAAAUAGCAACACUUCUGUAAAAUUACAGUUUAUAUUAAGAGAAACAUUAUUUUACUCAUUAACUAGGCAAGUGCAAGUUUUACUCUUACUACUUUAUAUUUUUCUAUUUUCACUCCACUAUUUCACCUCCCCCAAAUAUAGCUAUAUCUUUUACCCUUUUUUUAUCUUAAUUUUUUUUUUUAAUUUUCACUUUAUUUUCUCUCUUAUAUUUCUCUCUUUUUUUUUUUCCUUUUACGUUUUUUUUUUAAUUUUUUUUAUUUUUUUUUCCCUUUUCAUAUUUGAAGAUAAUUAUCUCCGUAAUCUUCAAGAUUUCAAAAUAAAACAUCAUUAUUGUCUUUCACUCUCUUAUAUCUCUACCUUUUUUUUCUUGUUAUUUUUUUUUCAUUUUAUUUUUUUAUUUUGAUUUCUUUUUAUUUUUUAUUUUUUCCUUCCUAUUUAUUUUCUGUCUUCUAUUUCUUUUUUUUUUCUUUUUCGUUUUAUUUUUUUCUUUCUCAUAUCUUUUUUUUCUUUUUCUAUUUUCAUUUUCUGCUUCUUUUUUCUAUUUUAUUUUGUUUCUUUGUUUCUUUUAUUUUUACACUUCUAUUUCUCUUUCUUUUUUUUUUUCAAUUCUCUUUUUUCCUUUUUUUCUUUUUAUAUUUUUGCUUUUUCCCUUUUUUUACUCUUCUAUCUCUAACUUUUAUUUUUAAAAGACAAAUAUAUAUAUAUCACAUACACAUAUUCAAAAAAUAUACAAAAUACAUAGUCAUACAGAUCUAGAUACGUAUUUACGGUACAAAACAUACAUAUAUAUUUACGAUAUACAUAUCAUAUUCAUAUUAAACUGUAGCAAACAUAACUAUAAUAUAUAUCUUCAUAUGUAUUUGCGAAAUACAAAGGUGACUCGUGUAAAAUAAGAAUAUACAUAUGGAUCAGGUAUGUAUUCUGUAAAUACAUAUGCGGAGCUAUAUGUAUUUUAUACGGCAUUGAAUUGGUCUUUGAACUGUACGUACAAUGUCAUUUUAGAGGGUAACAUAUAUGUACUUAUUUGUUUUCUUUUACUGUUUAAGAUAUCUACCAUGUAUUUUUUACUAUCUAUAUGUAUAUGUAUAUAAUUGUCAUUUUUGUUAUAGAGAUUUUGUGUCCUAUAUGUUUAUAUAUACAUGUGAGUCAGAUAUGUAUUUCUGUAAAUACAUCAGAUAUAUAUGUAUAUUUUUUAUCGUAAAUACAUAUGCAGAUCUAUAUGUCUAUUUAUUUCAUAUAUUUUUUGAAUAUGUAUAUAUGAUAUAGAUAUUUGACUUUUAAAAAUAAAAGAUAGAGAUAGAAGAGUAAAAAAAAAUAAAAAAUAAAAAAAUAGAAAAAAACAAAAAUAAAAAAUAAAAUUCAAAAAAAAAGAAGUGAAAAAGAAAAAAAAAGAAAGAGAAAUAGAAACUAGAAAUAGAAGUGUAAAAAUAAAAGCGAAAAAAAUAUAAAAAAAGAAUAACAAUACAACGAAAAAAAUACGAGGAAAGAAAAAAAGAAAACGAAAAAAUAAAAAAAUAAAUAAAAAAAGGAAAAAGGAAAAAAAGAAGAGAAGUAGAAGAGAGAAAAUAAAGUGGAAAGAAAAAAAUGGAAAAGAAAAAGAAAUUAAAAUUUAAAAAAGAUAAAAAAAAAUGAAAAAACUAAAAAAUAAUAAUAAUUAGAGAUAUAAGAGAAUGAUAUUUUGAAGACCAUGGAAAUAAUAAUCUUCAUAUUUAAGUUUGAUUUGGAAAAAGAAUCUACAAAUAUAAAUAAGAGUAUUUUAUGGGAAUUUAAUUAGAUGGGAUAAUUAUUCUUUAUUUAACUCAACUAAUUUGAGUAAAACAAGUACAGUAAACAAUUUACUUAAAUACAAAAUACAAUUUGUUAUUUUUUGUAAUUAUGAAACUGUUGCUAUAAAAGUUGCAAUUAAGGCUCUAUAGUUGCUAUUUCUGAAAAUUUUUCUAAUAAUAAUAUGUUAGAAGUGCGAAUGGAUUGCAUACCUAUUAGUUCAAUUCAAAUUGAAAAAGAAAAUCCAACAAAAAAUUGACAAAAAUAAAGGGCUAGCCCGCCCCAACCCGCGAUCCUAUUAGGGCUGGGUUAGGUCAUACAUUUUAAGGCCCUUUAAAGUGUAAUACCCCGCAAAGUCCUCUUUAAGUCUGAGCCUUAGAGCGUAUUCAGUAAAGCAGAAAUUCAAGUCUAAAAGUUUUAGAAAUAUCUUCCCAAGUAUGAAAUACUUUGAAUCGUGUGCAAUUUCCUUAAUUUUUGCUUAUUGUCAUGUAGAGCAUUAAAUAAGAUUCCCAUCGAUACCAAAUUCGCCUAAGUCGGACACUCGGGUGAAGAGUUAAAGCCAUUUUAGUGAGACAGUGUGCCACCUGGCACCUUAGCGCGUCGCGGAGCUAGGCAAAAUGACAAUCAUCAAAAUCCAGUGAGCCUCCGUGAUUUCACUGCGUUACGGUAUAGUUCCAGUUCCCAACCAAGAUGGCAAUACGAUUUCCACCAUGUCGCACCUUCGUGCAGUUUCCCAAUUGUCCAUUUUCCAGUGAACUAGCGCGAUUAUGGCGCGUCGCGCCAGCAUGAAAAAUUGGGAUUUUCAGUUUAAUUCCAAGGACGAAAAAGAGAUUUUCCCAACCCCUAUAUAUACCCCCUUUACACGAGAAUUGGCCUCAUUUUCUCUCUUUCCACUCCAAAAAUUUGGGUUUCCAAAAAAAUUAAAAUCUCUUCUCUUCUUCAAGCAAAAAUCAAGAAAGAUCUAUAGAAAUCAAGAAUCUCUCAAAAGGCCUUCAAGAAAAAAGUUUCCCCAAGGUAUGUAGAUGUUGAUUCUUGGGUCCCUUUCAUCCAAGAAACUCAAGAACCCUUUUCAAAACUUCAAGAUUUUUAUGUUUACGAGAUUUCAUGAUUUGUAUGAGUUGAAAUUGAUGUUCCUUGUGAUGUUGAGUUUUGAUUCAUGUUUGUGUACAAGAUUUAUGAGUUUUGACCCUAGUAUGUGGAAUUUAUGUGAUGUGUUCAUGGCAUUCGGUUGUAGAAAUGGUUGAAUUAGCGAAGCAUGUCCCCCAUAAGUUUGAUAAAGAGCUUAGGUGAAGCAUAAGAGCCAUUGUAGUAUGUUGAAGAUAAAACCCCAAAUUGUGAGUUAGUUUAUGCAUGCCUAGUGUUUGAUAAAAUGUCAAGUGAAUGAAUUAUUCCAUGAUAGUGGGAAAUCCCCAAAUAAGUAUGAACCCGUGCGUGUCUAGUAAUUGUUGAAGAACCUUAGUGAACAAGUGGAGAUGUGAUGGUAGUAAAUUCCCCAAUUAUAUACUCUUUGAUAUAUGCUAAGCUUUUAAUACAUGCCAAGUGGUUAGCAAGUAAGUUGAGACAUGAUAAUAUGACCUUUUCCCCAAAAUCAUAUGAUAUCCAACUAUCUGUCAAGAUUGAUUUAGGUGUGAAGUACUUGAGGAAAGACCUUGUUGAAUGGAGUAUGAUCUAGUAGCAUAUUUCCCCUACGCUAUUAUAUGUUUAUGAUCCCUAAAUGCUCGAAGUGAUGUCUUAGUGAUUGUGGGGAUGAAUAUAUGAUAUGAUUCCUAAAUACUUGAAGAGAUGCUUUAAUGAUAAUGAUGAUGAAUGUAUGACUGUGAUGAUGAAUGAAUGAUUGUGAUGAUGAUAAUGAAUGAAUGGUUGUGAUGAUGGAGGAAUGAUUAUACUUUAUUUUAUGUUAUCGAGUCCUGAGGGUAUUUAUACCCGAUAAUUUAGCUGCUGUCGAGAGCCCGUGUUAGUUUCACGAUAAUUCCAGUCGAUCCAUGAUUCUCAGAACUCAGUGAGCUAUAGAACUCUGUAUCUUCAGACAAUUGCAGAACGUAAGAAAGCUCAAAAAUCCCAGUAAUCUCUGUAAUCUUUGUAUCGCUAGUAAUCUAGCCUCAGUCCUGUAAUUAACUCAGAUCCAAUAGUAUGCAGGUGUUCAAUUCUAAUAUCAGAAGUGACCGAAUAAGAUAUUCAAGCUCCGUAUCGUCAGUCAGAUACCGUGAUUCAAUACCAUUUCCGUCAGAUACGAAACUAAGUGAUCUCAGCGUAGCUCAGUCAGAUCUUUUGAUAAACAUAAUUAGUAUCAGAUUCAGUUCAGUUGUGUUCAGUUAAGAAUUCAGUCAGAGUCUUGCAGUUGAGAGUAGAAACUAGCACCGAGUGAGGGAAGGGAUGACGGCUCCUUCCGUCAACCAAGGGAUAACGGCUCCUUCCGUCAACGAAAGAAAGAGGCCGGAGUCGUUAGUAGCAAUCCCUGACCUCCAGAACUGCGUAGCCAGCGCAGAAUACAAGAGUCACCAUCAGGAAAAAGCUGUCACCUCCAGAGGGAGAGUAUUUGACUAUUAUAUUGCCUUAGGUCGACUGCCUGGUAAGGGUCAUCCGUUAGAGAGUAUUGACCAGAGAGAGGUCUUUACCCGUGGCACGGUAUUGACACCCUUCCAGCUGGUGUUACAGGUUGGACCCCACCUGUGGUAGGUUGGGGCAUGUCGGUUAAGUAACUACUUCCCACAGUUUCAGUUACAGUCUCAGUUUCAGUAUCAAUCUUCAGAAAUCAGGACUGUCAGAUAUAGUAACCUAUCAUUAUGAGGAACUCAGAUAGUUUCAUUGAUUCAUAGAUCAUCCCAUCAGAUAGGCUUGGUCUCAUAUACAAUUAUUUGAUAGCAUAUUCAGAGAUAUGCCGCCAGAUAGGCUUGAUUUACAGUCUCAGAUUUUAUUGAGUAUCCUUGUUGUCAGAUUCAAAUAUAUUCAUAUUUCUUAUCAUUGAUAAUAAUUUCUGAAAUCAUCUGUUAGAGAGGUUGAUCUCAAAUCCUGUCAGUCGAAAGCAGUAAAGCUCAUAAUUCAGUCCUUGAUAUAAGUGCAUCCAGAUCUUCAUUUAUCAAUAUCAGAUGAAUUUGUGAUUCAGUAUUUCUUAGUCUGCGGUAAAGUGGUAUCCGAGUUUCAGUAUCUAGAGUUGUGAUAAUUGUGAUUAUGGUCUGUGCAUUCAUGUAUGUGUUCUCGUGCGACAUUUUCAUGAUUAUUCAGUUUAGAUAUUGUGCACGCAUGAGCCUUUGCAUUUAGCCUUACCUCGUCUACAUACUCAGUACAUCCUUAUACUGACGCAUUUGCGCUAUGGUGUUUUACUUGGCACCAUAGGUUCAGAGGCACAAGACUCAGAGUUUCCUCAGCAGUUCCGUCCCAGUCAGCAGCUGUGAGUCCUCUUCGUUCGAGGACGAGUUUCAGUUUACUAUUAUUUACAUAAGAUUUUGUUUAUAUUUUUAGUUGACGGAGUUAGUUGGGGACAUGUCCCAUCAAAUUCAUAGCUCAGACAGUACAGAGGCUUUUCAGACAGAUGUCGGAUGUAUUAGUAUUCAGUUUUCUAUAUUUUGAGUAUUUAUAGAUGUGUUGAACCUUAUGGCCAGUUUCCGCAUUUAUUUCAGAUAUUAUGCAGUGUACAGGUACAAAUAUUAGUAAAGGAUUAACUUGUGGUCCUUCGGGAUCAUAAGCAUCGUGUGAUGUCUCGAGAUGGGAUCUCGGGGCGUUACAUAAAGUGAAGGGUCGGCCCUUCUUAACCCAUCAAAUUCUUUAGCCCGUGAAGCUUGGACUGAGUUAGGUUGGGCCAGCCUAUCUCGACAGCUAUAGAUAAAUAUCAUGCACGACAGACUAAACGAAGGUACGUGCAUUUCUUUGGGUACGUAAAAAGUCACUAUCAAUAUGGAGAAUUAAUUCAGACACUUCAAAGCGUGACUUAACAAUGAUGUUAAAAUUGAAGAAGAAAAAUUAUAAAUUAUCCAUUAAUUUGUGAAAUAAAUCUGCAAAAUAAAAAGAAUAAUUAGAAAUUGUUUGGUAGAGUGUAUUGGAAAAUAUAAUGCAUGUAUUAGUUAAUGUGUAUUAUUAGUAUCUUAUUUGAUACAUCUUUUUGCCUAUGUAUAACUAAUGCAAGCAUUAGUUAUACACUCUAUUGUGUAUUGAAGUGUGUAUUAAUAAUACACUCCAUUUCCUAUGUAUUAGAAAUACAAAGACUUUUAACACAUGCAUUAACUUAUUAAAUGACUUUAAUACCCCUCAAUUUUUCUCUCAAAAUAUUACAUAAUUUUUUUUCCGCCAUUUUAAUUUUCAACAGUGAAUCUUCUAAAAACAUUUUAGAAUUUCUUUUCCCAACAUUUUAAUUUACAACAAUGAAUAAUUGAUUUAACUAAUCGCAACAUAUUUUUGUUUUGCUUCGAGGGUCUUUAAAAAGAUUAAAAAAAAUUCUUGAGAUUAUUUCUUAAUUUUAUAUCUUGUAUUUUAUUUUUGUUUCGAUUAUGUUAAUCCAUCGGCGUAAUAUUUCAUACGCAAAGAACUUUGAGAUACCAAUUCAACAAUAUUAAUUAUAUUUGAGAUGACAAAAGAACUUUGUUGUAAAAAAUUGUAUAAAGUCAAAGAAGAGUAUUUUUGUAAACAAACACUUCUUUUAUAGAAAUUAUAUAAAAUAUAUUAUUUCUUAUACAUCAAACCAAACAAUGUAUAAAAAAUAAUACAUGCAUAAUUAAUGCAAGCAUUACUAAUAUGCUAUAUUCUGCAUUGUUCUUAUAGACUCUAUCAAACGACUCCUUAAUGUAUUACACUUUUUAUUUAUGUUAGUUGUACAUAUUACUUAUUAUUUUUUUUAUUUUAUAUAUAAGAGACAAUUCAAGAACUUUAGUAGUUCUCAUAAAAAAUUUCAGCUUAAUUUUAACUUUUUUAAUUAAUUAUUUUUAUAUCAUGUUUCCAACUUAAUUUUAAUCUUUUCAUUAAUUACUUUUAUGUCAUGAUUUUAUCUUCUAAAGUCAAAUUUACUUUUCAAAAGUUUUUUUACCUUGUCAUUUUGAAAAUUUUUUAUUUUAUUUUAUUUGAAUUCUUUAUUUUCUUAAUUUGAUAGACAUUCUUUGACAUGAUUUAACUAUAAUAAAUACAUGAGCUAUGAAUUGUAAUUUAUGAAAUUAUAGCUAUGCAUGCUUAUUUUUGCCUAUAUGCAUUUAAAUAAAAAAAAAUAAAAAAUUGGGGGUAGGGGAAGAGAAUGGGGGAGGGGAUUACAAUAUAGAGAAUUAAAUCUCCAUCAACAAGGUGGAAGUUCAGGUAACUAACCAAUUAAGCUACUAAGAUUCUCCUAUUUUCGUCUAUAUGCUUGUUAUUUUUAAAAGUUUUUUCUUUUUUCCUUUUUUAGAAAGAUUUUAUGUGUGCUUUUGUGAUUGAUUUAUAUAAUAACUUUUUAUGAAUCUUUUUGUACUCUUGGUCUAAUAAUUUUUUUCUUCUUAAUUUCAAAAUAUUUACUAUUAUGUUUCAUUUUUGGAGGAUCAAAUCAAAUACAAUUUUAAUUAAUAUUUUAAGAGUGUUUUCACUAUAUUAAUGGGAUAAUCGAUACUUAUAUUAUUUUUCAUAUAAUUUUUGAAUGUAUAAAUUUUAAUUUAAAAUAUUAAAUUAAUCUAACUCAAUUUAACUUCAAAGAUUAGAUAAAAAAAAAAAAUUUAAAAAAAUAUGAUGGAAUGACGAAAGUAUAUUAUUUGAUCUUCAUCGAGUUGUAAAUAUUUUCCAUACCUCAAAAUUCAAAUUAUAUUAUAUUAUAGAAUAUCAAAUUACUUGUAUAUCUUUAUUCAAAGAAUGAAAGCACACAACCUUUCAUAAAAAAGAUAGCUUUUCACUAAAAAACAGUUUUUCAUGAAAUUUUUAAUUAAUCUAUUUUAAACAAAAAAUCCAAAACUAUAUUUAAAUAUUUAUUUGAUCAUGAAAUUGAUCAAAUUAUUAAUAUUCAGUUUUAAAAGAAAUUUAAUUCUACUCACAUUAUUUUAAAUUAUUUUUAAGUAAAAUAUAUGUCGAAAUAUAAUUUCAUAAAUUCAAUCCUUUUAUGUUUCAAAUUUUAAUAUUAAAAUUUAUGAUCAAACUAAACUUAAUAUAUUACUUUACCACAAUAAUAGCAGAUAUUUCUGUUUCAAGAUUUUUCCACGUACUUAUUUUUAUCCAAAACUUUCUAGACACUUAUAAUUUGUGGCCCAAAAACUACACAGCUUGUUCUUACCAUUUAACAUAUAUAUAAAUAACAUAAAUAUCAAUUCUUUUGGAAGUAAUUACAUUUUCUUUCACCUUUUUAAUUACUUACUUUCUCUUCCUAUUAAUAUACAUAACAUAAUCAACAUAUACAUAGUAUUCGGUGUAUAUGUUGGGAUUUUCAUAAUAUAUUAGGGAGUUAAGAUUAUUUUGUAAUAUUAGAAACAUAAGUUGUGUAUUUGUGUAAUUUUUAGAUUGCAUUAACCACAAGUUUUUGGAUCACUUAGAAAAUGAGACAUUUAGAAUUACAUUAUUGGAUAAUUUUGUCAUCCGAAUAUUAACCGCAAGUUUUUGGAUCAUUUAGAAAAUGAGACAUUUAGUAUUAUAUUAUUGGAUAAUUUUGUCAUCUGUUAACUUAAGCAAGAAAGAAAAAAAGGUUUUUUACCCUUGACCUCUAAAAGAGUUCCAAGUUCCAACAUUCCUGAGUAGAUAGAUACUUAAAAGGAUAAACUUUAGACUAUAUAGUCAAAAGUAAUAAAUUAAGACUAUUUUUCGUCUAAAAUAUUUGAUAUGUGGUGGUCAUUCAUUUUAAGCUGAAGAUCUGUUAAUAAUAUUGGUAAAUAUAAAUUAAUUUUUUAACGAUAAGAAUAUGAAUUAAAUUCAAAACAUAAUGGAGGAUAAAAUAGAGCAGAUUUCAGAUAAUCAGAUAAUAAUAAUAAUAUGAGAAAUUUUUUUCACAGUUAUAAAACAUUAUUUUAUUUUUUUCUCAAUUUACAGUAAGACCUCUUCUCUUUGUAGACCUUUUUUUUUUUUUUGGGUGGGGUGGGGUGGGGGGUGGGGGAGGCAAUAGAUUAACGAAAUUGGAGCUGUUUUUUUAUUUUUAUUUUUCACACGAGUUCGUGAUAUACUUUAAAGUUUGAUUAGUCCAAAUUUAUAUAGUGGAAAAGUUUCCAAAAUUGGAGGUGCUUUAGGUACAUAAAAACAACACCCAUUAUUAUUAUUAUUAUUAUUAUUAUUAUUAUUAUAAAUUCAUCCAUUAAGGCUUUCGCGUCUGGUGGUAGUGAGGAGUUUGACAAAUUUUAGAUUGAAAAAAUAGUACAAGUAAAGGGACAAAAUCUGAGAUCACUUCAGUGAUUUCUAACUUUAAUUUUCACUAAAUAUAUCAAUAAUAAUGACAAAUACAAUACAAUUUUAUCAAAUUGAUUAAAUUUAAAAAGAAUAAGAUAUAUACGAACUUUAUUCCUCUGAUAAAUGAUUAUCUCGGAGAAAAUUUUCAUUAAUAUAUGAUCCACAUCAAAUUUAUUCAGGAGUAUUUGUACUUUUCUAGCCUAAUCGUAGGGACAUAAUAAUAGGUUUUAUUAAUGAUUGGUGGUCGCCUAUCAUUUCCUUUUUAGAUAUUUCGGCUACUUUUUACCAGCAUAUGAUCUGCGUAGUUCACCUUUUAUUUUUUAAAACAAAAGAAACUAAUGCCAGUAAAAUUAAAAAAUGCAAGUAAAAAGGAUCUGUUUAUGUAAGAGUAAUUCUUAUUUUUCUUAAGGGAUGAAUUACAUUGAAGUAAAAUCUCUUUAUUUAUAGGGAAAAAUUAAUUUUGAAAUUUGUAACUUUUUCAUAAAUAGACAUACACAAUAUAUGGUAAAGUAGAUAUUCACUAUAUAUGAUAAAAUAAACAUUCACUAGAUAUGGUAUAUUUAUAACACUCCCCCUUAAAUAUCUAAUUGAUAGAUAAUGUGUCUCGUUAAAACCUUACUAGAAAAAAUUCAGUGAGAAGAAAAAUCUAGUGAAGGAAAAAGAGUACACAUCUCUAACAAUACACAUAUAGGCUGUCUCAUUAAAAAUCUUACAAGAAAAAUUCAGUGGGACAAAACCUCGUAAGGGAAAAAGAGUACAAAGCGUAUUAGCUUCCUUAAUGAGAGCAUUCUUGAGCCUUUGCAUCCCGAUCUUGUGCACCAUCUUCUUGAAAGUUGCAAUUGGAGGAGACUUGGUGAAUAAAUCAGUCAUAUUGUCACUUGAACGAAUAUGUUGCACAUUAAUAUUGUCAUUCUUUUGUAGCUCAUCUAUGUAUAAAAACUUUGAUGAAGUGUGCUUCGUUCUUUCUCCUUUUAUGGAUACUUCCUUAAGUUGUGCUAUGCAUGCUGCAUUAUCUCUGUAUAAAAUUGUGGGUACAUUGUCACAUUUAACACCACAUUUUUCUUGAAUGAGAUGUAUCAUGGAUCUCAACCAUACUCAUUCUCGGCUUGCUUCAUGAAUAACUAUUAUCUCAGCAUAGUUCAAUGAAGUGGCUAGAUAGACUGUUUUGUAUAUCUCCAAGAUAUAACAAUAUCCCCUCAUGUGAACAUAUAAUUUAUUUGAGAUCGAGUUUUAUACGGGUUAGAUAAGUACCCAACAUCAACAUAACCAACGAGAUCGGGACUACAAUCUUUAGAGUAAAAUAAGCCCAUAUGUUUGAUCUCAUUCCGAUGUAUCCUAGCAGGAGUAGAACUAUACCUUGCUAACAAAUUGACAAGGGCUAUGUCAUGCCUUUUAAUAUUUGCAAGAUACAUUAGUGCACCAAUUGCACUAAGAUAUGGUACUUCAUAACAAAGGAGUUCCUCAUUUUUUUUCUUGAGGUCGGAAUGACUCCUUAUUCAAUUAUACAUGUUUCUUAUUUAAGCAAAUAUUCUAUUUCUUUUGAAAACUCUCCAAGAGUUCCAAUGAUUUUCAAGCUAUAAGCUUGUACAAUAUAAGGAUUAUAAAUAAAUUUUCUAGAAACUUUUAUAUGCUUCAAGUAUUUUGAAUCCUUAAAAGUUUUUCAUAUAAGUUUUGUCAAGUGACAAUAUUCAAUAUUUCAUGAAUGACAUCUUGAAAUAUCUGGACUACAAAUCAAAUAAGUUUUAUACUUACCAAGAUGCAUCCUUUCAUGUCACUUGAUAAAUAUUUUUACGUCAGCAUGCUUAAAUAAACGUAGAAUUCAGAUCCUCAUAAUCUCUCACAAUAUUGUGCAAAUAUUGUAUCAAAGAUAUCAUUGCUGAUAUAUCAUUUUAUAUCGGUUCACAAUGCGAUAUAAUAUUUUGAGAUCUCAUCACUUCAUUAUUUUCAGGUACCUGAACCUCUCAUAAGGUUUCAUGAAGUGUUAUGUCGUAGACAUUGCCUUCCUAUUAUGACUAUUUGCUCCUUAUCCUUUUCAAGGAUUAUUUCAUUUGGAAUCGAUUGGUCUACCACGCUUCACGCAUGCAUAGACUUUGUCCUUCAUGUACAUAAAAUAUGAGCACUUGCAGCUUAAAAUGAAAUGCUUUCGGCAUUUGACUUGAAUUAUCUUUUGAAAGAGGAUCUGGUGAUAAUUCUAACAUAUUUCAUAGCUGCUUAUAAUCUCCCCUUUAUGUUAGGAAAACUAACAUACAUCCUCUAUCUUUUUUGAGGAAUUCAUCUUUGUACAUCAUGGUAUAUUCAUUAAUCGUAUACCGCACAUCAAAACUAUUAGAUGAAAUAGUUGGUUCAUGAUCUUGAACCAAUUGAGGGGGAAGAAAUAAUUAUAAUUUAUUGGUCUAAUACAUACAAGUGUUAUUGUAUGCAACAUAUCAUACUUCAGAUCAAUACAUGAAGCUUUGUUCUCAUUGGCGAUGAUUUAGCUAUUUAUUGAAGGCAUUCAAUGCCAAACCAUCAAUAUCAAGAUAAUUUUCUUGAUUGCACAAUCUGAAAAUUAUGUUCUUAACUCAAUUUUAUUAAGCAAGCAACUUUAUGAAUGUCAAACUGCAGGUUGACAAUGAAUGUACAUGUGAUCAUCUUAUUGAUGCAUCUUUUCAAUAUAUCACAUGAUAGGUGAACGGUCCCAUGUUCACCUUUUAUAUUUUCCAGAUUUAAGGAAUUCAAUCCCAACAUUAGUUGGUCCAACCAAUUUAUCAUGAGAACAAACGACAUAAACAAUUCUCGAAGAAUCUUGUAGUUCUUCAAUACAUGUAUAAUAUUCAAUAUGCACAUCUUCGAGAUGUCAAAAUUGUUCAUGUCAAUUUAUGAACUUUUAUUCUAGUAAACUUUAAGUUUACCAUGACAUGCACUUUUUUCUUUAGUAAGUUUCAGAUUUACUAUUACAUGAAUAAAUUUCAGAUUUACUACUUUGGAAGUAGCUUUCAGAAUAACUUUUCUCGGUUAUUUUGCCUCAUUUGAAGGUGAGUUGUGAAGCCAUCAUAAUCAAGUUCACGUUUAUUAAUAAGCUUCACUAAAUAUCACCGCAUUCACCCAGGAAAUGGAUCUAUGCUUAUAACAAUUAAAUUCUCAUUCCUAUGAAUGAAAUAUAAUGUGCCUCAAGCCUAUCAAAUUGAUAGCUUAUAACCUCUUUUAUGAUAUUGCUACUUUAGGAGCAAAUCGAAGCAUACAUAUGACCUAAAAAAUUUUUUCCUAACAUAUCUUAUGAUCAUAAUAUGCGUGUGAAAAUAUCAUCACUUUUGAUGAUCAUUAUCAUAUUGUCCCUUCACGCAUAUAUUCGUGCAUUCAAUCACUUGUCUUCUUUAAGUCAUAUUAUGCACUGCUACCGCAUUCACUUCAAGAAUGGAGCAAGUUGUCACUUUCAGAUUCAUUAUAUAUUGCUACCAUAUUCACUUCAUGGAGCAUAUCAAUGGAAUAUUGUGAAUUUUUAUCAAAUAUUGCCUUAACCAUCAUAAUAUAAUCAAUAUGGUGUGUUGAAACAAUUCAAACUCAAUAUCUUAUCCAUAUAAAGGCGUCUUAGGCAUAAAUUGAUGAGAUUUGAAUUCAAUUGUUUUUUUUUCUCUAUAUACAAAGAGGAUUAUUUUGUUUCAUUGUAGCCAUUAGUAAAAAUUUGUCCGAUACUCCAUUACGCAAAACAUCACUGCUUUGCUAAGGAGGUUAACACUCGAUUAAACCUGCCACUCAAAAACAACUCAUCAGAGAAGAUAAUUAGUACUCGAAUUAUGUCUGAACUUAUAAAUUGAAAAGAUAUGCUACUAAAGGAUAUAGUGUUAGACAGUAUAUACACGUGCACUUGUAAUAUUAGCAAGUAGUUAUUGUUUUUACAUAAAACAUCAAGACUUCAAAGACAUAACUGUAAUGUUAUAAAAUAAUUUUAUCUUUGGUAAAAAACUCACCAAACAUAAUAAAAAAUUAAAGAAUCAUAUCACCUUGAGAAUUUUGUUUUGUCGGAUUGUCCUUUCAAAAUUUGUUUUGCGGAGUUGUUCUUUAAUUAGUUGAGAGCACUCAUGCUGAUAAAGUGUUAUGUAAUAUAAACCAAAGAAGAAGAGUAGAGAAUAGAGAGUAAUUCUUAUUUCUCUUGAGGGAUGAAUUACAUUGAAGCAAAACCCCUUUAUUUAUAAGGGAAAACUAACCUUGGGGUUUGUAACUUUUCCACAAAUAGACAUACACAAUAUAUGGUAAAGUAGCUGUUCACUAUAUAGAUAAAGUAGACAUUCACUAUAUAUGGUAUAUUUAUAACAGGAUCGAAGUUUAUCUUACUAAUUCUACAUGAGGCCGAAACAUCUUUUCCUGGAUUUUUUAAAAACAUCUAUCUUUUCUCUUAUCAAAAAGUAGAGCAUUGAAGUAACUAUUAAAAUUAUUGUCAUACGAUGGGUGAAGGACCGAACUAAAAGGGUCACAUCUUCAAAUCGUGAAGACAAACUCUUUCAAAAUGCAGGAUAAAAUUAUGCACAAUAAAUCUUUGUGAUCAAUCCUUCACCAAACAUCACGCAUAGCCAUUUAAUUUAUCGAGCUAAUUUUUUUUCUCUUUUCUCUUUAUCACUUAACUUUUGUUUCAUAAAAUUAGAUUUUAAAAAAAUACAUCAUACAAUAAAAUUUAACUUAUAUACAUUAGUAACAUAAAUAAUUCUUUACUGCAUCAAGUCAUUCAUCUGUUGAUAACCUUUUCAUUAUAUGAAAUUUAUAAUUUUAAAAAUAAAAUAAAUUUUUUAAUCACAAUAAAUAAAAAUAACCUACUAGAAGUAAGAAUUGAUUCGGGGCUCCACUCCACACUACUAGCAAUCAAGUGAAAAGAACACAAUUAAGAAAAAGGACCCAAGUUGAGCACUGAAGCAAAAUAUAUACGACUACAUUUCAUAUUCUUAUUCUUGCUUAAAUAAUUAACAUGUAAUCUGGAUUAUAUUGGACCUUACCAUUCAAAUGUUAGUUUUAAUAUUUCGGUUUUCUCUUAGAUAUUUGAUCAAAUUCUCAUAGUAAUAACUAAUAAGCUGAUUUUCUAUUAAUUUUUUUUUUUAUAUGAAUAGACAUAAAGUCAAAUUUGAACUUCUAUUUUUUUUGUGUGUGUUUUGUCCUAAGAUAGAACAAUUUUAGUGGCCAAAAAAGGUGCCGAAUAUUGUGAAAUGUAACUUUUUUUGAGCUUAAUGUUUGAUAUUUAUUUUUAAGAUGUGUUUCAUGUUGCAAAGUUUGAUUUUGAAAGUACAGUAGUGUUUACUAUCAAAGACGAUUCUAUAUUCAGAAUCUAAACUCAAAAUCACUAAUUAAGAAUGAAAAGUACUUACCAUAACAAGGUAUUUUAAAAUGUAACUAGUUAAUAAGUAGCAAAAUAUCUAUAUUCAAAAGCAUAAAAUAUUAGAAGACUCAAUUCUUUUUCUCUAAGGUCCACAGCAAGAAUUCUCUCUUUACAAGAAAAACAACUUGCUCUAAAAUCUGAAUGGAGAUUCGCAAAGCAUCUCAAAAGCAAAAAUAAUGGCUCUCCUUGGUCAAACUUUUUUUUUUUUUUUUGCAUCCCCUAUUCGAAUUUCACUUAUCUAAUUAAUUUGGAUUUGUGUAGAAUAAUAUCUAUUUUUUUAAUUUCCUUUUACUUAUUACUUUUGACAUAAUACAUCGAUUAAAAAAUAAUUAAUAAUAUAAUUAUUUUAUCAUACUAUUUCUAUUGAUUAAUAUUAAAAGUAAUAUGUCCUAAAAAUGAUUUGGAGAAUAGAUAAUUAAUGCUAGGGAUAAAAUUAAAAAAAAUUCUUUUAUCUUUUCUUGACAUGUCAAAAGUGACAAAUAAAAAUAGAAAUUCAAUUAGAAAAAUAGUAACAAGUAAAAAUAAAUAUAGAAAGUAGUAUUAAAGAGGUAUAUGGAAAAAGUUAAAAUUAAUGCUGUGGACUUCUUAUUCAUUCGUAGGCAUCUAAAUUCUGUGCAACAUAUUCCAGUAAAAAAAUAUGUAAAAAUCAAAUGCCUAUACUAGUAAGAGUCAAUAUUAUAAAAUAUAAAUAUAUUAUUUUUUAUUUAUAAAAUAUAAUUUUAAUUUACAAAACCUAAUAACUAUUCAAAUGUCAGUUUAUAUUAAAAAAUGAAUUAAUUUUAAUGAAGUAGUUAUUUGAGUUUAUUGUUUAAUGAUUAUUAUAAGCAAGUGAGUUGAAUUUUAAAAAUUUGUUAUCUUUUUCAUCCGUAUCUAUGUAGAAGGUAAAAUUAAUUUCAAAAAAAUUCCUCUCUUCAUUCGUUCCUCUUUCUUCAUUGUAACAACUCUAUUUUCACCUAAGAAUCAACUAUAAUUUUUAUAUAGAGAGAUAGAUAGAUACUUCCUUCGUCCCAUUUUAUCCGUCUCAAAUUUUUUAAUUUGGUGUUCCAUUUUACUUGUCCUUUUUUACUUAUCAAGAAAAGACAAUUUUUUUUCUCAUUACACCCUUAGUGUAAUUACUUACUCCUUGUUAUUAGCAUUCUUGAAAAAUGUUGCAAAGAGGAGCACCAUUAAGAGUACACCAUUAAAAAUAUAAAUGGUGCUUUGGUAUUAACCAUCUAUCAAUAUUAGAACUAACAAUAAGACAUAAUUAAGAGGGGUAAAAUGGUAAAGUUACAUUACCAAUUAUUAUUUUCUUAAUAGCCGUACCAUCCCAAUUUGGGACGAGUAAAAUGAGAUGGAGGAAGUAGAUAGAUAGAUAGACAGACAGAUAGAUAGAUAGAUAGAGAUUGGUGUAUAAAUAAUUUUAUGGUGUUUAAACUGUAUAAAAAUUUGUAUAUCAAUAAUUUUAUGGUGUCUGAAUUGUACAGAAAUAAAUAUAUAAACAAUUUUAAGGUUUUUGAAUUUUAUAGAAAUUGAUGUAUCAAUAAACAUAUGAAUUCUGAACUAUAUAAAAUUUAGUGUUUUACAUUAGAGAACUUACUACCAUUAAAGAUGUGUUUUAAAAAAAAAUUAAAAAAUUAAUGUCAAUUAUAUUGAAUUAAAAAUAAAAUUAAAAACAAAAAAUAAUAUCGUCUAAAUGUGUUGAAUAAGAUACAUCAAUUCGAAUGGGAAUCGAUUCUUUGAGAUUUAUUGUUUUUGGAAUGAGAGUGAAGAAAGUAGAAUAGAUUUUUUUUUUUUUGGAUGGAGAUUGAGAAAAACUUGAAUGUUUGACAGUGAUAUUAACUUUUGUGCUUUUACAUAUAUUUUGUAAGAAAUUUAUUAUUAUCUUUUGAAAAUAAAAAUUUCAUGAUAUAUUGUUUUGUAAAUAUGGUGCUUAUUUUGUAUAGAUAUAUCAUUUGCCCCAAUAAUUCUUGUGAUAUUCAUAAAGAAAAUAAGACAUCAUUAAACAUUGUCUAAUAUUGUUAGCCAUCAAAUUCAUCCUUAGAAAGUCCAAUUUAUUAUAUAUUCACAAAAUACGCUACUAACAACUUUUAAAUCAUGAAAAAAAAAAAAUUUAAACAAAAUAAUUAAGAGGGAAACAAGAUUAUACUCACAAAUAUUCAUCAAUAACAUCUUUGUUUCAUUAUUCUUAUUUGUGAUUGAAAUUUAGUUUCAUCAUUUUAAAAUUUAUUGUAAAAAUCAUUCUUUUUUGUAAUUUUUUUAAAAGUAAAAUCACCUGAUAUUCAAAUUCCUCCAGGGUUUUACUAAAAUUCAAAUUUAUAUUGGAAAGUCACAUUUUAAAAUAAAAUGUUCCUUAUCAAAAUGUCUUUUUUGUAUUUUUGCAUUUAAACUUGAUUGAUACUUUUGAUUAAGAAUGAGGAAUUGCUGAGAAGGUGUAUUUUAAAUUGCUAACAAUAUUUAUAUAAUUUGACUCCUAAAAAAAUAUACACAAUAAAAUAUUAUAGGAUAACCAUGAUUUAAAGUGCGUACAUGGGCUGAUAAUUGUGCUAGGGCCCUCUCGACCUUUUUCACUUUGGUGUCGAUCUUGGCAAUUGACCUUUCCUUCGUGCAACAUCAAAUCAAACCAAAUAUAGGCUUCGUACGUCAACUUUUACACGCUAUAUAAUUUUUUUAAAAAAAUAAAAUUACUUAAAAAAUAAUUACAAAUAAUUCCUCAUACAAAACAGAAUUAGUAACUUGAAAUUAUGAUAAUUACUUGUUACGAUAAGUUAGAACAUAUUUUUAAUAACACUACUGAUACGAUAAAAUAGAGUUAACGGUUAUGAGUCAUCUUAGGUGUGACAAAAUUAAAAAUGAUCCGUGAUUAGGUCGUUCUGAAAAAGAUCCUCAACAUGUGGUGCAAAAUCAUUGGUCACCUUACUAUAAGGCUCAAGUGACACCUCCUAUUUAGUCAUAGGCCAAUCGUGUACAAUAUAAAUAGGAGCCUAGUCUCACAGGCCUAUUUUUAGCCGCGUGCGGACAGCUUAACACUCUCAAUAUCGAUGCUAAACUCAGUCCUAGCCCAGCUCUAAAUCAGUCCCCAAGAACGUUUGAACACUUACACAAACACGUAAGGAAAAAUAGCAAAGGAAGACACUCGAUUUGGGAGGACCGAAAAGUCAAUUUUCUGAUAUAUUUCUUGAGUAAAAACAAGUAUGUGAUAUCUGCCCAAGAGGGCCUUACAAGAUAUAUAUAAAGUCCCUUAGUCAAGGGGUACAAUAAAUGCCAACAUUUCUACAUUUGGUCAUGCAAUCCAUGCACUAGUGAAAGGUCUUUGUCUAGCAACCUGAUUUUUCUGUGCAGUCUCUGUUCAGCAGCUGGUCAAGGCUCUAAAGCCCCAUAGAUGUUGACCCGAGCUUGUAAUUUGACCUCCCAAAGAUGCCCCCACGUUGGCCUUGUCAAUGGACGUUGUGGAAGCCCCGUCGGGCUCCGAAAUACACCCGAAAUGCUCGGAAUUAUGCCCAAAACGUGAUGAAUUCAAUGGGUAGUGACGCAGGGCGUCACACUCUCCCCCACCUGAUUUGGCGACGACCGCAGCGCCACAUAGAUGCAAAUAUUUGUGGACUUGCUCCUUGAACGGCCACAAGUCCUCAUAUUUUCCCAUGAUGCCUCCUCGGGCAAUUGCCCUUUCCAAUGGACUAAGAAUUGGGCACUUGAAUUGCCCCAACCUUUUUCUCAAACCAAUUGAUGAUCAAUUAUGUCCUCAAUUUUCUUAUCCGUGGCAGCGGUCGUCAUGAAGAUUUGGGCCCGACUAGACUUACCCCGCUCCACGUCUUCCUUGUCUUCAAUAUACGGUUUUAAUUUGCUUGCAUGGAAGACAGGAUAAAUCUUUAAAUGUGAUGGCAUGUCCAGCUUAUAUGAAAUUUUGCCAACCUUGGCAACAAUCUCGAAUGGACCCUUGUACCUUCGGAUCAAACUUUGAUUGACGCUCCUCAACGACUUGAAUUGCCUUGGAUUGAGCUUGACUAUCACUUUGUCUCCAAUCCGGUAGUGGACUGGACGACGACUGUGAUCAGCGAAUUUCUUCAUUUUGCGGGCUGCUUUAUCAAGAUACGACCUUGCUAAAUCGACUUGUUCCUCCCAAGCCUUUGCCAUAUGAUAAGCACCCGGAUUCCUCAUUCCGGCUUUAACCGGUAAGGAUUGUGGAGUGUUUGGUUGCUGCCCCGUUGCAAGUUCGAAUGGACUGACUACGACCUGUUGCCUCACUCCGUUGCAAAUUGUAUUAGAAUUGGGCCGUGUCAAGCAACCAUGACUAGUCCCUUUGAUUGGCACUAACAAAGUGCCUCAAGUAGCACUCGAGUAACCCAUUUACUCGCUCCGUCUGUCCGUCGGUUUGGGGAUGGAAGCUGGUUGAAAAGUGCAGCUCCGACCCCAACAAACUGAAUAGCUCCUUCCAAAAUGCUUCAGUGAAUCGCGGGUCUCGAUCACUAAUGUUAUGCCUAGGCACGCCCCAAAGUUUAACUACAUCUUUGAGAAACAAUCGGGCUGCCUCCUUGGCUUUGCAAUUCGACGUGGCAGCUGAGAAUGCUGUAUAUUUGGAGAAGCGAUCAACGACAACCAUGAUUGUUCUGCAACCCUCCGAGUUAGGCAAACAUGUGAUAAAAUCCAUGGUGACACUGUCCCAUAGUUUCUCCGCGGUGGGCAGCGGCUCAAGUAAUCCACCGGGCGCCUUGUGUUCCACCUUGUCUUGUUGGCAAACAAAGCAAGUGCGAACGUAUACCUCUAUAUCGUCCCUCAUGCGAGGCCAAUAAUAAGCUGCUUCUAACAAAGCCAUGGUGCGUUUCUGUCCCGGAUGACCAGCCCACAUUGUCUCAUGGCCCUCCUUGAUCAACAAGCGCCUAAGAUUUUUCCAUCUAGGCACAUACACUCGCCUUCCGGUGGUGUAUAACAGCCCGUCCUCUUCCCAAAACUUUUGGGUUUUGCCUUUGCCUGCCAAAUUAAGAAGUUGUUUGGCAACGAGAUCAUGUUCCAUACCUUACUUGAUGGUAUCCAGCACACCACAGCUGGUCGUGCUCAAUAGUGUCGCCAAAACAGCCUUGCGACUUAAUGCAUCGACCACGACAUUUGCCUUUCCCUAUUUAUACUCCAAUGAGUAAUCAAACUCUGCCAAGAAGUCUUGCCAUCGAGCCUGCUUCGGCGAUAUUUUAUUUUGUGAUUGGAAGUAGCUGGUCGCUAAAUUAUCCGUCUUGACGAUGAAAUGAGCUCCCAACAAAUAAUGACGCCAUGUCCUUAGGCAAUGGACGAUGGCCGUCAUCUCCCUUUCAUGGACUGUGUAGCGCCGCUCCGCAUCAUUCCAUUUUCUGCUUUUAAAUGCUAUCGGAUGACCCUCUUGCAUUAGGACACCACCAAUAGCAAAGUCGGAUGCAUCCGUUUGCACCUCAAAUAGUUUCGUGAAAUCCGGUAAAGCCAAAACCGGUUCCUUGAUGAUGGUUGUCUUGAGAUUGUUGAAUGCCCCUUGACACGAACUAUUCCACUCCCAAACAUGAUUCUUCUUCAAUAAAUCCGUGAGAGGAGCAACAAUAUCCGAGUAUCCAAGAAUAAAUCUUCGGUAAUAAUUAGCAAGGCCAAGGAAGGACCUCAAUUCGGAUACCUUCGUUGGAACCUCCCAAUCUCGGAUCGCCUCAACUUUGUCGCUAUCCAUUUGAAUCUGCCCUUGGCUGAUCGUAUGGCCGAAGAAUUGCACCUUCGGCUAUGCAAAAGUGCACUUCUCCCUUUUGACGCAUAGCUCAUUUUCCCGCAGCACAUUAAACACGAUUUGAAGGCGUCUAACAUGCUCCUCCAUUGAGAUACUGUUAUCAACAAUGUCGUCCAAGUAUAUGACCACGAAUUGAUCCAAGUAUGGCUGGAAGAUCUUGUUCAUUAGUGUGCAAAACGUGGCUGGUGCGUUGGUCAGUCCAAAAGGCAUGACCAGCCACUCAUAGGACCCAUAACGAGUCACACAAGUCGUCUUGGCUUCAUCUCCUUCGGCUAUGCNNNNNNNNNNNNNNNNNNNNNNNNNNNNNNNNNNNNNNNNNNNNNNNNNNNNNNNNNNNNNNNNNNNNNNNNNNNNNNNNNNUAUUUGUUUUUCACCGUGACUUUGUUGAGAGCACGGUAAUCAAUACACAACCGCAACGUCCCUUUCUUCUUCUUUUGAAAUAAGACCGAAGCUCCAAAGAGUGCCUCAGAUGUUCGGAUAUGGCCUGAUUCCAGCAGCUCCUUGAGUUGUUUUCUAAGUUCCUCAAGCUUCGGAGGCGACAUCCGAUACGGGGUCAUAGCUGGUGGCUUUGCCCCGGGUACCAGCUCGAUCUCGUGAUCAACUUUCCUUCAUGGAGGUAACCGUUUGGGCAGCUCCUCCGGCAUUACAUUUAUGUUCUCUUCAAGAACACGUUGGACACAUGAGGGAACUAAUUCAGCUUCUUGGCAGCCAAUGAUCUCCAUCAAUGUCGCAAGAAAGGUUGGUUCUCCUUUCUUGAAAUAUUUAACAAGCUGCAUCGCCGACAAACGUGUGCCACUUUGAGCGACACGAAUAAGUGGAACAAUGCAAGAACCACCCUCAUCACAAAUGGCUAGCUGGUUGAGAUGUGGCGAAAUAAACGCGUUAAUCUCAUACCAAAAAUCCAUCCCCAAUACAAUAUCAAAGACAUCCAUCGGAACAAUCAAAAAAUCCGUUUCUCCCUUCCAACCUCCCAAGGUGAGACUCACCCGAGGAGCGAGGCCAUUGACAUUGGUAGGGAGACAAUUGACGGUCUUUAACAUGGAAUCACUGGUCACGAAUGCAACGCCAAGUUCUUUAGCCUUUUCCUCCGUAACAAAGUUAUGCGUUGCUCUGGUGUCCACCAUAAUGCGGAUUGCUCGGCCAUUCACCUCUCCAUCAACAAAUAAUGACUCUCGAGCUCUAACGCUAUGCUUCUUUGCAGCAAGGGCAGUAAGCGUCAUGUGGUUGAACAAAGCCAUAUGGUUAAACAAACCCACGGCAUGUCCCUUUCCUUUCUCCGAAUUGGCAGCUUGUGCUUCUUGCUCCCCGAAAACCCCGGCUUGCGCACUAGCUUAAUCCUUUCGUGUUGCUGCAAUCAUCGCUCCCAGCUUACUCAACGAAGGAUAAAAUCUCGCAAAGUGAGAUGUAUCCCCGCAAAGGUAGCAGCCGCUAUCGCGGUUAGCUACACCUUUCUUCUUCUCUUCGUAGUUCUUGCGGAAUGACGAUGGCUGGUUGCGUUCGCCUUAAAACUCACGAUUUUUGUUAGGAAUAAACUUGUCUUUGCCCUUGUCCCCACGAUCUCCCUUGGCAGCAACGGGCUUGUUCCAAAUAUCCUUCACCUUGGCAUAAUCGGCAUGAAAAUCAGUCAAGGAUUCCGCCACUUUGAUGGCCUCAUCCACGGUCUUGACGUUGCGCCUCCUCAACUCUUGUUUGGCCCAAUUUUGGAGGCCAUCAAGAAAGAAGAAUAGCAAAUCCUUACUGCUGAAACUCGUCACAAGAAGUGAGAGCUUCGUAAACUCCCUCACGUAGUUAUGAAUGGAAGAAGUUUAAGUUUGUCAACUUCCGUUGAGCUUUAUCUACAACGUUUUGAGAGUAAAAUUGCUCCUUCAACUCAUCCUUAAACUGAUCCCAAUCAGCUAUGGUGCAAAGACCUCUCUCCAUGUCUACUUUUUUCCUACGCCACCAUAACAUUGUGACGUCACUGAAGUACAUGGUUGCAAUUUGGAUCCUUGCUGCCCCGUCAACAAUCUUGACGUGCUCAAAAUAUAAUUCCAAUUGACAUAUGAAAUUUUCUACAUCUUGAGCGUUCCUUUCACCCUUAAACACGUUGGGUUUAGGAGCCUCAAUACGAGCAUUAUGGUAAGCCACGAAACCAUGAUUUCCACCAACACGGGCUGCUUCAGUUGUUGCUUCAAAUCAACAACUUCUUCCUGCAAAGCCGACUGCCCCAACAUCACCUCGGACAUUUUUGACCCAAACUCCUCGUGUAAUACAGAUAAUGCUUCCGUAAGCUUGAGUUCCAAGCUGGUCAACCCCUCCUUGUGCUCUUCAUUUUUCUCGAACAAGUUGGCCUUGACUUCGUCCAGCCCUUCAAGAGCAGCAGCCUCAAGGGUACCAACGUUGGACUCAAGGGUCUUGAAGCGAUGGCCCAAAAUCGCUAAGCCAGCCUCCGUGCUAAUGAUUCUCUCAUCGAGAGAGCCGGAUGCUGAACCUUCACCAUCUUCCACGUUCGUGACAGCCUUACUAACUGGAAGUUGGGCCUCAUCCUUGUUUCUACUCUUGUCAUGUUUUCUGGUCUUGGUUUUGCCCAAAUUGUCUCCGCCGUGAACCUCCUCAUCGCCAUCGUUGCCAUGUUCAAAGUGCUGCUUUGAUACCACUUGUCACGGGCCUAUUUUUAGCCACGUGCGGACAACUUAACACUCUCAAUAUCGAUGCUAAACUCAGUCCUAACCCAGCUCUAAAUCAGUCCCCAAGAACGUUUGAACACUCACAUAAACACGUAAGAAAAAAUAGCAAAGGAAGACACUCGAUUUGGGAGGCCCGAAGAGCCAAUUUUUUGAUAUAUUUCUUGAGUAAACACAAGUAUGUGAUAUCUGCCCAAGAGGGCCUUCCAAGAUAUGUAUAAAGUCCCUUAGUCAAGGGGUACAAUAAAUACUAGUCAACAUUUCUACAUUUGGCCAUGCAAUCCAUGCACUAGUGAAAGACCUUUGUCUAGCAACCUGAUUUUUCUGUGCAGUCUCUGUUCAAUAGCUGGUCAAGGCUCCAAAUCCCCAUAAAUGUUGACCCGAGCUUGUACUUUGACCUCUCAAAGAUGCCCCCACGUUGGCCUUGUCAAUGGAUGUUGUGGAAGCCCCGUCGGGCUCCGAAAUGCACCCAAAAUGCUCGAAUUAUACCCAAAACAUGAUGAAUUCAAUGGGUAGUGACGCGGGGCGUCACACUAGUCCUUAUUGUAAAGGCAUCAUGUGUUUUCCACCUCUCUACUACUAAGCAAUAAAAGUUCCUUUAACUUUGUCUUCAAGUUUUUUUUUUGUUUACUUUGGCUUGCUUAGUCUACUUUUAUUCCUGGUACACGCUAGCUCAUGGAUUAAGGAAUUCGAUGAUACGCUUCGUGUCGUGCCCAUGAUUUGCGUUCUCUAACUUUAACUUGCUCAUCGUUUGCAUUAUUGUCAUCCUUUAUUUGUUAUCUUGCAAACUUACAUAACUAACUCAAAGCUAAGUUUUAAUGUCCUCUUGAUCCACCUACAAAUUCAACUGUCUCAAGUUGAGAAUAAACUGUUAUUUUUAAUGUUUUUGGGUACAAGAAUUUGUAUUUAGGCACAACAACUUUAUCACAAGUUCAAGUCUAAAAACAAAAACACCUAUGAAGUUAUAUAACACCCUCAACACAAGAUCAAAAAAACCUUUCAAAGAAGUGUUUUUUUUUCUUCAGAAAUUUAGAUGAAACAGAAAAGGCCAAGUCCUUCGACUUCACGAAGUGUCCUUAAGGAAUAAUUCCCCUCAAGUACCCGAGGUUACAGAAUUUUCCUCCCAGGUUAAAAUGGCCUAACAAUCCAACUGUAGUGGUACCUCAAAUGAUCGGACUCUCUUCGAACUCACUCAACGAUUGAUGAUCACACGGAGUAUAUUUUUAGAAAACAAAAAGAGCUUUAUUGCAAAAAAAAUUUCGUACCUAAACCUGUGGAUAAAUAUAGGUUUAUAUAGUCAUCAAGUGUCCCUUCCAAAAGGUUACAAUGGUUUAUCCGAAAAGGUGUAUCCUUUGGAAGAGUCAUGUCUGUUCAUUCGAAACAUUGUAUUUUUUUUUGAACAGACACAGCUAUAUGAGCAGUCACUCCUUUUUCAAAAUAAUAUGUCUUUUCCUCAACGGUUGUGCCUUCCAUUUUCCAUUCACACCUAUUAAACCCAACAAUCCCCCACAUGAAUGGGGAAUGACUAUUCUUUGUAAAACUUUACGGACAAGUAUGUGAUCAUCAAGCAAAGACUGAUUGCAUCUGGAUAAGUGGGUUUUCGUUUGAACUUUCCGUAGUGAACAUGCAUGGGAUGCACUCAGUUAAUCGGUAGAUUUGAUAUCUUUGAACAGUUGAGCUUUAAUGUACACCUAGACAACACAUGUCACACAACCAGUCUUUUACCGUUUAUGGUUCUCACGGUUUUGUUCAUUUCAACCAUGAACACGUCUCGAUCUCAUGAGAGCUUAGAGAAUAGACCUUUACUAACAUUCUCCUUGAAGCAACUUCGACUUCUCCCUCACAUAAGAGAUUUCUAAACGUUCAAUCCUAUAGAUUAAACUAUUUUGUCAAAUCUGCUAAAUUUAGAUAAUCAUUAAAAAACUUCUCACCAUAAGUCUUAUCCUUAUUUACUAAACAUUGUCCACAUCAUGAGAAUGGGUUGGGUAUAUUGAUAAUGUUGAACCUGUCAGACACAACUUUGUUUGAUCUCCUUGAACGUAGAUCUUGAGAUCUCCAGUCUUCUAGGUAGAGUUAUCGCCAUGCUGACUUGUCAUAGACCGUAAACCUAUUCCCUUAAAUGUCCUCUCAACUCUUUCACUAGAUAUGCCUUUUGUAAGUGAAUUCGACACAUUAUCCUUUGACUUUACAUAGUCAACAGUGAUAAUUCCACUAGAUACAAGUUCUCUAACGGUAUUAUAUCUCCGUCUUAUAUGACAAGAUUUACCGUUGUACAUCAUGCUCCCUGCCCUACCUAUUGUCGCUUGGAUAUCGUAGUGUAUACAUACUGAUGCCAUUGGUUUGGGCCAAUAAGGAAUAUCUUCCAAGAAAUUUCGAAGCCAUUCUGCUUCUUCACCGACUUUAUCUAAUGCGAUAAAAUCAGAUUCCAUUGUAGAGCGAGCAAUACAUGUCUGUCUGGGUGAUUUUCAAGAGACAACUCCUCCACCGAUAGUAAAUACAUAUCUACUCGUGGAUUUUACUUCGUUCGAUCCGCUGAUCCAAUUUGCAUUACUAUAUCUGUAAUACCCCGUACUUUUACCUAGCUUGAAUUCAUCUUAAAAAUGUUAAAGAAAUGUUUUAAAGAUCAAUCCACUUUUAUACACAUGAAAUUUUCAAGAUUUUUACUUUUU
rnacentral:lncRNA from 1 species